GCUUUUCCAAGAAUUGUAAGUCUAGCUACAACUUUGGUAAACAAGUGACUAGAAAACUUGCAGAAAUAGUUGAUCUAAAGAAUGAAGGAGAUUUUGAAAGGGUAGCUAAGAAUGAACUUGCACCCCAAGUGGAUGUAAGACCUACUGAGCCCACGGUGGGUUUGGAAUCAACAUUGGCUAAUGUCUGGCACUUACUUGAAGAAAAAGGUGUGGGCAUUAUUGGGUUAUAUGGCUUGGGAGGAGUUGGUAAAACAACACUCUGGACCCAAAUUAACAACAAGUUAAGCAAUAACCUAAUCGAUUAUGAUAUUGUAAUUUGGGUGGUGACUUCUAAAGAUCACACUAUCGAAAAGGUUCAAAUGAGUUGUGGCAGAAUAAAAGUUGCGAUGAGAAAGCUACAGAUAUUUUCAGAGUGUUGAUCAAAAAAAGUUUGUUCUACUGUUGGAUGAUGUGUGGGAGCGGGUGGAUUUGAUCAAAGUUGGAAUAACUGUACCGAAUUAGGAAAAUGAUUCUAAACUAGUUUUUACUACUCGUUCUUUAGAGGUAUGUGGAGAAAUGGAAGCUCAUGAGAAAAUCGAAGUAAAAUGUUUAAGCGAAAAUGCAGCUUGGAAAUUGUUUAAAGAGAAGGUUGGAGGAGAAACCCUUGACAGCCAUCUUGACAUUCGAGGGCUAGCUAAACAAGUACCUGCAAAGUGUGGAGGACUGCCACUUGCACUGAUUACAAUCGGUCAAGCCAUGGCUUGCAAGAAGAUGCCCCAAGAUUAGAAGUAUGCGAUUGAGGUCUUAAAAGAGUUUCCGCAUAAAUUAGCAAGAAUGGAUGAACAGGUGUAUCCUCUUUUAAAAUUUAGUUAUGAUAGCUUGCUUAUUAACACGAUGAGGUCUUGCCUUUUGUACUGUAGUUUGUUUUCUAAAUAUUCUAAAAUUUUCAUUUAUGGGUUAAUAGGUUUUUGGUUUUGCGAGGGAUUUUUGAAUGAAUUUGACAACAUAAGUAGAGCUCGAAUGCAAGGGUACAACAUUAUCAAUUCUCUUCUCAAUGCAUGUUUAUUAGAAAGGGAUGAAGAUGUAAAAUUUGUAAGGAUGCAUGAUGUAAUCCAUGACAUGCUUUUGUGGAUAGCACGUGAGUGUGAAGCACUUGAGAAGAAAUUUCUUGUACGAGUAGGGGAAGGAUCAAUUGAGGCAUUUGAUGUUGGAAAUUGGGAAGGGGUGAGAAUGUCAUUGGUGAAGAAUGGAAUUGAAGAUCUAAGAGGAAACCCUGCAUACCCUAAUCUUCAAACUUUAUUUCUCAUCGACAACAAGUUGAAGGUGAUUAGUGAUGGUUUCUUUCAAUUAUGCCCAAUUUGAGAGUUCUAGUCUUGUCUUUAAAUUUAAAUCUCUGUGAGUUGUCAAAGGGAAUUUCAGAACUAAUUUCACUAGAGUAUCUUGAUUUGUCAUAUACAGGAAUAAAAGAGUUACCAAUUGAGUUGAAUAGGUUGUCAAAAUUAAAAUUUUUGAAAUUAUUUGAGACAUAUUAUGUGCCAAAAAUCCCACGACAGCUGAUAUGUAGAUUUUCAAAGUUGAAAAGAUUCGUAAUGACUACGUCAGAAUCUUGUGGAGAUGAAAUGGAUGAAGACAAUAUCCUAAAUGGUGACAAUGAAGGUUUAAUAAAGGAAUUAAAAUACUUGCAACAUUUGGAUGAGCUGAUUAUAGAAAUAAAAUGUAUUUUUGCUUUAGAAAGCCUUUUGAGCUCGCACAAGUUACGAGGAUACACUGAGCAUUUAUGCCUCCGAGAUUUAAGGAAGACAAAGGUAUUGAAUGCUUUAUGUUUAGCAAAUAUGGAGCAUUUAGAGCGCCUAAAUAUUAGCUGUUGUAAAAGCUUGGAAGAGAUGGCAAUAAGGAAGAUGGAGAAGGAAUUAGAAGAAGGAACCUCCUCACUCUUUCCAACUAAUAUUAAUACUUUUAGUCCUUGCUUCCACGCACUGAACCGGGUUUGCAUAAGCAAAUGCAUCAACUUGACGGACAUGGCAUGGCUUAUUUUUGCUCCAAAUCUGAAGUGUCUUAGUGUAAUGUUUUGCUUAAGAAUGGAAGGAAUAAUAAGUGAAGUUGCAACUGUGGUUGGAGUUCCGUAGCCAAGCCCAUUUGCUAAGCUAGAAAGCUUGAUUUACGAGAACUACUAGAAUUGAAGAGCAUAUAUUGGGAUGCCCUACCUUUCCCAUGUUUGAGGCAAAUCAAAGAAUUCAACUGCCCAAAAUUGAAAAAGCUUCCGCUCAACUUUGACAGUGGGAAACAAAUCAGCAUUGAAGGAUAUGAGGAGUGGUGGGAAGAGCUUCAAUGGAAGGAUGAAGCCACUCGAAAUGCUUUUUUACCCUCUUUCAAACGUGUAGAUUGGUGGAAAGAGGUAGACUUCAAGGAUGAAGCCACUCUACGUCCUACGUUUUGGCAACGAUAAAACUAUAAAGGAAAGGUAUGUCAUAUUUUAGAAGCAAUUUUUCCCUUAUUUUUCUCUCUUAUAUUAUCAUUGUCUUCAAAGGUGAGAUGACAUGCUAACUGUGUUUGAUAUGAUAAGGUCUCUAAAAUUCCUGUCCCAGUAGUAUUCAUUUAUUCAUCAAUCAUUUUAAUCCCUAAUUCAUCCAAUAUAUUUGGCAACUAGUAAAUUUUCUUGCUUCGAAUGACCCAAUAAUUUUUAAUUCUUCAUAGUCCUCAUUACAUGUACAGUAAACACAUCUUUGGGAACAACUAAAGAAGCACUAAUAAAUUUUCUGCACAUCUGCAUGUCUUCGUAUUCAUUGGGCAGAGACUGGCGCAUGGACAAGUCAAUCAGUUUGAUGAUAGCUACAUGUAUGUUGAAAUCAACAUUGAAAGAGAGAAAGGAUGCUGGAAAGAGGUAGAAUGGGAAGACAAGACACUUACUCCAUGGUCUAAUAACUUUAUGGGGUUAUGAUCUUGAGGAAUAAAAAACAAUGAAGAACUCAGAUGUAAUAAACCACAAAGUCUUGUUUGGUUUUCUUCUCACUUGUCAAGUUUAGUUUGUCUUGGACCGAGAUUGUAAUUUGGAUGUUCUGUUUUGUGUGGUUGUCUUGUUUUCAUCAUAUCCCAUACUUGAUUUGUUUGGCGAAAUUUCUAUUUAUAUCUAUCACUUGAUAGUUCUCAACUACAGUGAAACAAAAAUUAGAACUGUUUUCUUCUACAUCUCUGCUUGCUGUCAUUUUAGUUCUUGUCAUGAGGUUUGCCAUCUAAACCACGUUGCUUAGGAAUUUAACAGGACCCUUUAUUUUUUUCUUUGAAAACUAAAUAUCAGUAGAUAUUGCUGGUAUGGUGAAGGUCAGUCGAAUAAACCAUCUUGAUGGCAUUGGAGUCCAUCAGUGAACAACACUAGUUCAAUGUAAAGGCUUUUCUAGUUGUCUUCUAUUCCUAUGGUAAUGACAAUGAUAUUAGCCUUGUAAGUUGCCUAAUCUAUCUUCCUAAAAAAAUGUUGCUUUCCCAUGUAAAUGACUGAUUCUUCUCCUCCCUAUCUGCUCCUCUGUUCCUUGCCGCCUCCUCUCUCUUUCUCUUCCCUCUCUUCUAUUUGAAGUCCAUGACAAAGAUGGAAAAACAAACAACUUGUUAGUGUGGAGUUUCAAUCUGAAAAUGGCUAUGGCUUCAAUAAUUUUACCUUUCCCCCCGAUGCAAGUUAUAUGAAAACCCGAUUGGAGAGUUUCACAUCCUGCUACAAAUUACAAAAUGUUUUACAACUCCGAGACACAAAUUUCACUUGAAACUUCCUUGUUCAUAUUGGCAAAAAUCUGAAACCAGUCAACCAGGAUAAUGCAAACAUGCCAUUCGUGGAUUUUAUCUGUAUUCUCAGAGUAAGACAACGGAAAGCGUUUGGGAUUUAACUAGGAUCUCAUGGCCUAUCCAUUUGUUUGAGGAAGAAGUGAUGUGGACUUUUUGAUUGAACAUCCAAAUUCUGCAGAAGCAUCCUGGAAUAUAAAAGUUUGGAAAUGCCAUCAGGAAUAUACUGGAAUCUACCUUGUUGUAAUCUUCAUGGUUCCAGCCUUCAAGAGCAUUGCGGUGAUGCGAAUAAUUUGCCUGGGGUUCUAAAGAAUUGCUUGCAAUGUAGUAUUCAUAUGUACUUCUUGCUGCUUCAACCUCCACCAAUCAUUGAAACUCUGACAGGAAGAAGAGAUGAAGCUUGGAAAAAGGCAUCCGUCUGAGGUAGCAAAAAGCUUGCCUGGAUGGGAACGCAAGUUUAUGUCUUACAAGGCGUUGAAGAAGCAAGUGAAACUGAUAAAUCCCCAUUGUAAUGGAAAGAAAGGGUCAAGAUCAGGCGAUAGAAAAUUGUCAGAGGGUGGAAGCAAUGCGGGGAAUUCACCAGCACAAGGCACGGGUUCAUUAGACAGGGAGCUCAAUAAGAUUAAUACCUAUUAUAUUGACAAACAGGAAGAUUAUGUCAUCAGAUUUCGGGUAAUAUUAUCAGAUCUCCCCCUCAGCAGAAUAAAUCGAAACUUUCUAAAAAAGACUUAAUAUUAAAUUAUUAGGUUGCCUAUUGGUUUCAAUAUUCUGUUAUAGUAUAUUUCCAUGUAUGCCUGUAUUCGCUUUUCUUCCUUCAAGGACAUUGUGAUUCUGUGCUUUCUUGAGGUAGAUAACCCUGCAAUCAGCUCAGUGGUCAUUGUCAGAUUAUUCCAGAGCUCAGGGUCGCAAGACAUCAAGUAUAUUAUCAUAUCCGAACCAAACAGGAACAAGUUAUAAAUUCAAGCUUUCACUUUACAAAGUUUAUUAAGGGAUAAAAAUACUGAGUUUUUAUUUUAGUAGGAAUUCAACUAAAAGUUGAUGUUUAUUUGUUUUUCAGUUGUAUUAUAAUAUUUGAAUUCUAUUCCUAAUUUCAAUUGGAUUUUUUUUUUUAACUUUUUCCAGUUGUAUUAUAACACUUUAAAUAUAUUCCUAAUUUGAAUUGGACUUAUGAUGUCAAACAAUAUAAAAACUUAAUUUCUAUUCAUUUAAGUGUAACUUAAAAAAGAGCACAACAUACCCCGCAGAAAGCCAGGUAAUUCUCUUUUCUAUAUCUUUUGUGGUUUUUCAUAAUAUUUUACUUUUGCAUAUUGUUUCAUUAAUAAAAAAGUUCAUAUUUUUAGACUAUUGAUCUAAGAAAACAUGGAGAAUGCUGAAGCAGAUUGGAAAAAUCUUCCAACACUUUGUUUCUUUUUGAUUCUUGACAAAUUAAAAGCUUCUGGUACGCUGGUUCAAUUUGGUGCAGUUUGCAAGAAUUGGUAUUCAGUUUUUAAUGAUUUUCUUGACUCAAGAAGGCGAUCAGCGCUUAAUCUAGUUCCCAUGCUGGUGAUUCCAACCAAAAAGAGCAACAAAAAUCGAAAAUUAUACAGUUUACAAGCCAAAGCAAAAAUUUGCAACAUUGAGUUACCAAAAUCUUAUGGUACGAGAUUUUGUGGUUCUUGUUAUGAUUGGUUGGCCAUGGUGGAUGAGAAUAUGAUUAUAACUCUCUUAAACCCUUUUAAGGAUGGAAUCACAAUUGAUCUUCCUAAAAUUGAAGUUGUCAAGACAUCGAGCUACCAAUACGACAUUCAGAAGGUUAUCUUAUCAGUUGACCCAUUAUCGUAUCCAGAUAAUUAUGUGGUGGUUGUUAUUCAUGGCACGCAUUACAGAUUAGCUUUCUACAAAUCUGGGCAAAGAGAUUGGAUAUAUCUGGAUAAGGAUUUCACUCUUUUCACCGAUAUUAUUUUUUAUAGAAGUUUAGUUUAUGCUAUUGGAAAUUGGAAUAUGAUAGUUUCUUUUGAUGUUAAUGAUAGUAGUCUCGAUGACACUUUGAAACCACCAAAGUUGAAGACACUUGUGCCUGCAGACAAAUGGUAUCAAAAUUUAGAUAACUAUUCAUAUAAAGCAUAUCUUGUUGAGUCAUCAAAGGGAAAUUUAUUCUCUAUAAAAAGAGAUUUGGAUUUUGACAAGGAUGAUAAUUAUUUGACUAAGAAUUUCAAAAUUUUCAAGUUGAUUUUGGAUGAUCAAAGUGGUGAAUUGUUAGAGCAAAAGGAGGUGAAGAACAUAGACGGAGAUGUAGUGUUUGUGGGAGAUAACAGAACCUUAGCCAUCUCAAUUUUAGAUUUUCCUGAAGCAGAACAGCCGAAUUCUAUAUAUUUCAUAGAUGAUUUGUUCGAUAUGUAUGCAUAUCAGCCAUAUGGUCCUCGAGAUGUUGGUAUUUUCCAUAUAAAAGAUGAAACUCUUGCAGAACAUUAUCAAUUCAAACCUUCACAUAAAAAUCUACCUCCUUAUACUUGGAUUUUACCACCAAUUAAUUUUAAAUUAAAGUCAGUUUAAAUUUGUUUUAGUUUGGGUAUUUGAAGCUCUCUGAAGUCAUGUAAUAUUUUAAUUUUAUAUAUAAAAUUUGGCUUUUCUUUUAAAUUUUCCUCAAUUAUCAUUAUACUAUUACACUAGGAUCAAAAGUAAAAAUAAAAAUAAAUUAUUCGGUAGCAUAAUAAAAAAUGAAAAUCGGAAAAAUUCAAAUAAAGCCUCCCUUACUUCCUUCUUUCCCUUCACGGCCACUGUCCAUUCCACCCCGGGCGGCCGUCCUCCACCUAAGCCACCAUUCCAAUCUCUAAAUCCCAAUUUUGGCCUCCAAAACCCCAACGUUCUGCAAUUCAUCUUAGCCCUAACAACCCAAAUCCAACCACAACAGGUACUCUAAUCCAAGCAGCUGCCACAGUCAGCCUUAGAAACAGAGAGACACCACACUGCCUCUGGCGUAGUCCCGAAGAAGGUUCGGGAAAGAGCCGACCAGGCCGUGAAGCAGGCGUGGCGCGAGCUUAUUGCGCCCAGAAAGAGUGUUACGGCUUGGAAAGUUUCUCAGGCAGCGCCCCACCGGCAGUCCCGGUGGCGCUCCAAGCUGAUUCUUGGAGCUCGUUGGGAUUGGAUAUGCACCGGACUCCGUCUCUUCAAAAGGCUAUAAGCAUUGAGGAAGGGUAAUUAGACAAAUGAAAUGAUAUGUUUGUAUAUAAGCAUGUUUUGUUGCGAUUUAGUGGUUAGUAUGGAUAUUGAAAUCCUUGAGGUAGGCUAAGGAGGAACUGGAUGCCAAUUUUUGGAAGAACCCAAAGUGAAAAUGUUAAAAUUAUUUGGAGAAUGAAAUGCAUGGUUUUACUUUUAUAUAAGAAUAUUUAUGUUAGGAAUGUUAUAAUGUUUUAGAAUUUUAGUCAACUUUUAAUUUUUAAAAAGAAUUUAAUUUACUUUAAUAGCUAGUAACAAGCAAUUACAGAAAAGCAAGUAGCAAAAGCAACAACUAAACAGAGCCUUAAGGGAAGAGUAGGUUUAUUAUUUAAUUUAAAUUUUUUUAUUUUUUGACUUUUGAGAGUUAAAGAUAUCUAUUUCAGCAAAAAUAUGGAGUUAUAUGGAAUUAUAAACUUUGAUGAGCAGGGAAUGAGCAGGGCGUAUCUCUCUAGCCACAUUGAAAACAGCUUUUCACUUGUAGCAGACAAAAUUGAAAAUUUCUACCCUGCUGCAAUUGGAGACCAAAUUAUUGUUUGAAACAUAAUGAUUAUUUCCUUCAAUCCCUUUUUUUUUUUUUCUAAUUUCUUCCUUUCUACUCUUUAUAUUGUUUACGUAAAUGCGUCUAUUCAAUGUUUUGUGGGAGGAUGGAAAAUUACUACGUUGUAUGAGUUAGACAUGGCAAUAUGUGGUAAUGAGGGUGUUAAGACGUUUAAAAUGCUGGGGCUUGGCCCUUUGCUCCAUCAUCCGCUUGUCUUGCGGUACUUCCUACUAAACUCUGAUUAUAUGGAAGUGUUUAAAGUAACAAGUGAGGGUCUAAUUGCUCACUUCAUGAAUAUAUGGACUGUCAUGAAAAUCAAAAAAUUAUUAUUGAUGAAUUUUGGAUUUUGUUGCUGACAAGCAAGCUUUCAUGUGCAAGGAAAAGCUUGGCAUGCAUAUUUGAAGCUUGACGUAUGUAUUGCAUAUCUUCCUACUAACUUUUAGUAGGAAAAGUCUCAUGCACUGAUAGAACCAAUGCCUUUAGAGCUGCAUAAAACUUUUUCAGAAAGCAUGGCUUAUUUUGAUUUUAGAUUUGUUUUACAGGGAUGUAUCAUGAUUUUGUCCCAAAUCAGUGAACACUGCUCAUAAAUUACCACCUCUGAUAUCUAAUCUGUUGGUUCAAAGGCACAUUGUUGAUUAUUAUGACCUGGCAAAACUUCAUUAGUAUAGUAUAAAUUAUUUAUAACUCUUAGGCCUUAACAGUAAAGGAGUUGGCCUUUUAGUGGUCGUGGAGCUGAUAUAUUGCUUCGCGGACUGUGCCAGUACUUAUUAUUAUUGCCCUUCUGCUAUUUUUUGAGUGGAUGCAACGAGCUGAGACUGUGUUAUGCUACAUGAAGUAUGCUUGUUACUUGGCAUAGUGGAGUGGAUACAGAAUUUUGCUGCAUUUUGUUCCACUGAUAUCAGUAACAUCUUUCUGUCCUCUGAGGGAUUAGGGAUGAAAACUGGCAGGUCUGAGUUAAAAACAAGGUCAAACUGUAUGCAAAAUACAAUAGGUAGGCUUUCCUAUGCAGAGAAAGAAAACAAAGUAUUUGAUAGGACAUACAAGCAACCCGAAGUUUGUCACAUGAUUGAUGGUGCAGAAGUUUCUGCGGAGACAUUGGGCAAUAAGAACAGAAAACAAUCAUCUAGAGUUGAUGAACAGAAAGAUGUGGCCUUGGUUAUUGAGUCAAUCAGGCGAGAUGAGUUCCAUCUGGAUCCAAAUCUGUCAGAUAUGGAGAGCAGAAUGUUAAAUAAGCAGCAUGCUUGCAUCGGGAGAGCACUCCAUUUUCUUUCUAAGGAGUUAUGCUCUCAGGACUCACAUUUUCUUCUGGAGCUUGUAAGUUUGCUUUUUGCUUUUUUUUUUUUUAUUUGUGUGCAGUAGGUCUGUGCAUGCUGUAAAAUGUUGCUUAAAUUAAAUAAGUUUUGGACUCACAAUUUGUUAUGAAACUUAAUUUCUAAAUUACAAAAAAGACUAGUGGGAAACUCCUUUUCCAUAGUAGCUUGGAAAUAUGUUAGAGGACAAAUUUAUAUUCAGAUAUUUUAUCUUAGGUAUCUGUAUUCUUGAAGGUCAUUUUUAAUAUUUAGGCAGUUGGUUUUUUGCCACAUGUGGACCCACUGGAGCAGCAUCGUAUUUUUGUGCAUGUCAGUCCAAUAUUUUUAAUAUUUAAGUUUGUAGGUUAUCCUUAAAAAAAUAUUUAUAACACAUUGGUAUUUUUUGUUUAUGGUGUGAUGUUUAGUGUAUUGGUCAAUGCAGUGUUUGGUAUGCUUAAUUUAGGUAUUCCUCUAUCCCACAAUAACUGUCCUCUUUGAAAGAGCUUUAGGAAGCAGUAUAACACAUAGUAGUAAUUAUAGUUGACAGCUUUAUCUCUCAAAAGUAAAGUAGUUUUUUGGUAUUCUUUUUCCUCUUGUUUGUAAAAAUUAUUAAAGGGUGUUGUUGGAAGUUAGAUAAUGAGCCUUUGACUUUUGAUUGUGGAGAAUAUAUUUGGGACAUCCAAAAAAUAGUGAUGAGGACCCUUAUUAUGGGAUAGAGGAGUAUUAAAUUUUUCUGAACUGCUGCUACUAAAUGGUGAAGUGUUAACUGCAUCUGAUUGAGCGUCGUGUUGCUUUAGGUUGAAAAUGCUGAUGAUAAUGUCUAUUCUGAAACUGUGGAACCAACUCUAACAUCUAUUCUUCAAGAGCCGGGUAUAAUUCUUUUCAAUAACGAACAAGGCUUUUCUGCUCAGAACAUCAGAGCUCUUUGUGAUUCUGGAAGCUCGACCAAAAAAGUAUCUGUUGGAUGUGUAGGAAAGAAAGGCAUUGGCUUCAAAUCUGUGUUUCAGGUAUGCUGAAAGCAACAGUUUCAUCCAUAUAUAUUUCAGUUUUUUAAUUUAUAUUCUCUCUCACUGAUUUGCUCUGUUCAAGCAAUGUCGUCUGUUACCAUGUUUUCAUGUCUUGAGUAGAAGAUAUCUGAAAGUGUACGAAUAAGACUUAAAUGGUCCAUUGAGUGACAGUUGGGAGAAGAGGUUAGAUAAUUAAACAAGACAAAUAUUGUGGCUCCUAUCCUUUUGUUCAAGUUAAUAUUUAGCAGCUAGCUUCCUUGAACUGGAAAAUAUUAUACUAAUUUUAAUUAAGCUUGUCCAUUUUCUCUUUCAUAUCAAAAAGUAGAAUGGAAUUUUCUUGACUGCCAAAACAUCAUUUAUUCUACUUUUGAGAAUCCAAAAAUGGUCACUAGAUUGUUAGUCAAUGGUUAUGGACAGAGUGAUUUUCUUCCUGCAUUAAGGUUGAAUAUACCAUUUCCUGCACUGUUUGCUGCAAGAAUCUCAAUUGAAAGGUACUUACUGGGUGUAUUCUGUUAAUGACUGGUUUCUAUGGGCUUAGUUUUUUGGGCAUUUUGCAGGUUACAGAUGCUCCUGAGAUUCAUUCCAAUGGGUUUCCUGUCAAGUUUGAUAUAAGUGAUGGUUGGGUAGGUUUUGUUUUGCCAACUCUAGUUCCUUCUUGUAAUGUUGACUCUUUUGAAAUGCUGUUGAGUGGAGACAAUAAUCAACUGGAUAAUAAAUGUUGGAUCACAUGCUUUGUAUCAGUAACAUCUAAAGGAAAUGAUAAGAUCAAUAUUAUUUCCAUGUUUUCAGAUUUUCAUCCUUCCGUAUGACUCUUUCUCCACAGGCUCCAGUGUAUGGUGUUUUGGAACAUGCUCAAUAAUUCUUUUAUUGUUAUUAGAAAAGAAAUUUUGGCAAAUGGUAUUAUAAAGGUUCCAUGUGGGAUAGAUAACAAGAUAUGGUUUGUAGCAUCCCAAAAGUAGCAGGCUGAUAUUAUUCAUCUUGAUGUGCAAACAACAAAAAUUUCUAUAGCAUUUACACUGGAGAAGUCUGAGCGUGGAUGUUACAGACAAUUUCUGGACCAACAACCUAUAUUUGUUUUUCUUCCUUCAAGGACAUAGUGAUUCUGUUCUUCCUUCACCUGGAGAGGAAGUUGAUGUAGAUAGCCCCUCGAAUCAGUGGUUAUUGUCAGAGUAUUCCAGUUUGUUUCUUUUCCCGUGAAUUGAGAAGUUCAAUUUAUUUCUCUUUUUAUCGCAUCACAUAUUCUCUCUCCUCACAUUUUUAAUUUGGAAUUUUUCCUGGUGUCUUUUAUUUAUCUUGGAAGCAAUCUUUAUUCCCUGAUAAGAGAAUACAAUCAACCCAAACAGCUAAUUGUAAACUUGAGUGUCAUUAUAUAUUAUAGCUUUAUCUACUUCAUAUUUGCAGUUCCUCACUACUUUUUCUUUGACACCUCUAUGCGUGCAGGAUAUUAAGAUUUCAACAAUAUGUCAAAUGAUCUGAUUUUUUGGUAUAAUACUUACUGAUUGGGGGUAAGUUUUGGAAUUUUAAUUUAAUCAGGCUUUGUGGAAAAGCUUAGCUGUGGAUAUGACUGUGCAUAGAGGGAGAGAGGGAGAGGGAGGAGCAGAAGCUUUAUCAACUUUGUAGUUGCAUUAUUUUUUUAUUCCGAACACUUGCACAUGCAGUCUUAGAUAGUAGAAGAGAGAGAGAGAGAGGGAGAGAGAGAGAGAGACUGCGAUACAUAUUUGCAUUGACACUGGCAAAUAAUUUUGAUCUACAUAGACAAUGGACAAGUUACAGACUCAGAUCUGACACUUGCACUGGAUUCCUAGUUUAGUUUCCUAUCUUUUUAAUUUUAGGUGGUACAUGUUUGAGGGAUCAGUUGCAUUUUUAUCUCUCUUGAGUACUUAUUUCUUUCCUGAAUGUUAUCUGCAUGAGGCUGGACGUUGAGGGUUUUUCUUUUAAUCUCACUGUAAUAUGAGGUGCAUUUCAUGGACUUUUAUUUUAUGCAUAGGUUCUGCAAAGAAUGCUCUUCUUUGGCAAGUCAACAGCUUAGAAGAAGAAGAAAAUGAAGUCAAUUCUUCUUUGUCUCCUUUUAUUAGAUUUCUAAACGUUGCUGUGAGUCUACUGUGCUUAGUUGGUUGAAAUAAGUUGUUAUUUACCUAAGUGCUAAAUUGCAGCAGAAUCUAGUAAAUGCUCCUUGAAUCCUUUCGAUAUCUUCUUUUGAGCACUUGGUAACUUGAAGAGCAUGAGCAUAUGAGAUAAGAUUGUUUACUUUCAAUAGUGUAUUAAAGCAUAAUCCUGUUUUUACCUUCUUCGGGGAAAAAUGUUUUUCAGUACAGUUGAGGCAUUAGUGCUAAGUUGGAGCAGAAUUUAGUAAAGGUUCCUUUGACCCCUUCAGUUGAGGCACCUUUAUUGAGACACCCACCUUGAGUGCCUCGGGUGUGCACCUUGAAAGGUAGUAGGCACAAAAAGGCUCAAGCGGUAAGGGUGGGAUGGGGUUGGUAGAAUCUUAGAUUUGAGCUGUAAUAGUCUUCCUUGUACCAGAAAAAGUAAAAAGGUAUGCCUCAAUUAAGUGGCCCCAUUUUUUUAAGAGUUUUUUAAUUGUAUGAGCUGUAUUUUCAAUAGGCAUAAAAGGUCAAUAAAUGUGUUUUUUCAAGAAUAAGGAAAGGAUAGUCUUGUCCAUAUGUUAUCCAUAUGUAACUAGACAUUUUCGGUUGCCAUCUUUUCAAAUAAACUUUGUAAAAUUGAAAUUAUAGGAUAGUACACUGUGUCUGGCUGUUUAAAUUAUUCGGUUUCCUAUUAGUUACCCUAUGUGAUUCCUUGUUUUAAGUAUAUAUGCAACUUAAAGAGGGAUUUUCUCAUUAUUGAUUUGCUUACUUAUAUCUUUAACUUUUUCAUAUUGUAUUGAUUUCAAUAUUCUGUUCUAUUAUGCUCAAUUCCUGUUUCGGGCUGUUCAAAUUAUUUGGUUUCCUAUUGGUUAUCCUAUGUGGUUUCUUGUUAUAGUAUAUAUACAAUUUAAAGAGGGAUUUCCUCUUUAUCGAUUUGUUUAGUUAUAUCUUUAACUUUUCAUAUUAUAGUGAUCUUAAUAUUCUGUUCAAUUAUGCUCAAUUCCUGACAAAUUGUUUUCUUCUGUUUAGUAAUUUUGGGUCGCUGAUUCAGGGCGUCUUAAAUCUAAUUAAUGUGGACUUUCAACGGAUUAGAAAGAUACGUAGAACUAAUUCUCAUUUGUUUGACAAUUGUGUGAAGUAAUCACUGUUAGGAAAAAGCCCUUCCAGGGUGACAGGACACUACACAUCAGUGUCAAGGGGUUUGGGUGGGUUGAGACUUGCUAAUUGAUAAGCAAUUUCAUCACAGUUAAAAAAAGGUGGAGGGGUGAAUUUGCGAUUAAGUGUUAGCUUUUGCACCUAUUCGAAGGGAAGGGAAAGCAUAAUUGCGUGGAUUACUUGGGCAUGCAAUGGAUGCGUGGUUACACUGAAUCACAGGAUUAUUAGAUAGACCAUGCUGAUUGAUAAUAUAUAUGAUAUGUUUGCUACAAUUAAAUGAUGUCUACUUUUCCUCAAUCUUAGGAAUUAUGUAAAUUAUAAUCAAUUGCACCAAAUUAUAUAUAGGGGUGUGACGCUUUUUGUCUUGAAUAAAUUGCAAUAAGAUGGUGAAUUCUGUGCUGAUUAAGGAGUAACACUAGUACAUUAACAACUUGUUUUGCUAGUUGGAAACAUAAUGGUGCCUUGCUCAGCAGUUAAGCUCUUGGCUUAGUGUUAUGUUUAGCAACAGUCGAAGUUGUGAAUAGAUAUGAAAGCCAUGCUGAUGAUGUUCUCAUGGUUGAUCCACAUUUGCACUCUUAUGCCUUUUGAAGUAAUAGUGGAUAAAAACAGCCUGCCCGGGUGGAUACUGUGCUAUUACUUAUUUUGCUUUUCCUUUGUUAUUUGUUUCCUCUCUAGGAACAGCACUUUUCCAUUAUUUAGCAUAAAAAACAAUAAACACAUAGAUUAUGACUUGUAUGUUCACUACAAAUGGGCACCCUUGAUCUACUUUUUAAGCUUUUCUCUAUCUUGAUAGGAAGCAAGUUUUGCUACUAAUAUUAAUGGACUUUUUCUGUGAUUUAAAUAUAUGAAAUAGAACAAAUAUUUCUAUUUAUAUGAUUUCAUAAUUAAAAUAAUAAAGCAUAAAAUAGCAUAAUAUUAUAGAAGAACUAUAAAGACGCACGCAAUAAAACAUGAUUCCCACCAGUGAGUUUUACAUAAAUUAAGAAUAUAAAAAUAUUACAAAAUAACACUUAGAGCUCUUUAAAGUAACUAAAUGACAAUUAAAAUUAUAAAUACCAUUUAAAAUUCUUCGAAGCAACUAAAUGAUAAUUAAAACUAUAAAUACUAAUAUAAUAUCUUAUAAAUGGGUGGGCAUAUUAAGAUAUAAUCUUAGUGACCAUUGUCACGAUGCUCCUUCCUUGCUACUUUUGUUGGAAAACCACGCUUGCAAACGUCACAUUUGAAUUUGAUAACAUUUUUAUCAUGAGAUUGCUCUUGGUGACUUAUAACACUCUGUAAAGACUUGCAUUUUUUAUUGCAAAUGUUGCAAAGGAAAUCAUAGUCAUUGCGCUCAACAUUUUCAUUAGCAGCAUUGGAAGCCAUGGUGUGAAAAAUAAAGUAAAUGGAUGAAUAAAAGACCUCUAGCUAGUUGCUAUCAAAUUACCAAGACGAAGGAUAGUUAUAUAUACAAUAGAAAUAAAUGUUUUUUGCAUGAGCUGGCAGUUGAUUCACAGUAAAUGAAUAAGAAAGAAAUGAGUUGGUUAGUGUGACAAACAACAAUAAUGUAAAUUGUGUGAUUUUUAUUUUAUUACCAGUUUUGGUCAAGAACAUGCAAGUUGCUUGACUCCCUAUUAUGUUAAAUAUCAAAGGUGCAAUUAUGUUAAAUAUCAAAGUUGAGAGCUUUGUCUCCAAAACAUUUUUAGGUGAAUGAUACUUGAUAACUAUGUUUAAAUAAUAAAUAUAACAAUUAAUACUUGAUAACUCCAUAAUUCAAAACUCAGACAAGUUGAUGAAGCGUCCAUUGAAAAAAUAUGUACCAACUUUAUUCUAUCAACACGUUUUUAACUGCCAACAUACAUAGCUGCCAUUUCCACAACCAAGUUACUAGAAACAGUAGAUUAUAAGCAUGCAAUUGCAAGCAUAAACCUUGAUACCUUACACUUGGUAUGGAAAUGGAAUAGACACUAGUUGUAUAAUUAGAUAUCUAAGACUAUAAGUCGAGAACUGAAGAAUGUGCAUCAAGUCCAAUACAAGAAAACUGCUUGGCACCUGUGAAGUUGCAACAACACCAUAAAUAGAGAUUAAUGAUUUGCCAAAACCUGUCACAUACAUGUAAUGAUUUGGUAUGGAAUAGAAAUUAUCUCUGCUUUUAUGGGGAAAUCCAGAUAUGGAUUCAGCACCUAAACAAGUUCAUCCUUGUUACUAAAGGAGAUAAACUUCAGAUCAAUGUCUACAGCAAUGAACCACAGUUGCCACACCUAAGUUUAGAUACAGCUGUAAUUCUUAUAUAACACCAAAUUAGAAAGAUAAAUGUUGUAUUUAUAAUGAAACAAAAGGGCAAAAUUUUAUUAAAACUUACCAUCAAAACAAAAAAAAAAUUAACAAAUUCCACAACACAAAUUUUCAACUUCACUCCAAUAUUGGAAAGAUGAAAUGUUCUAUUUAUAAUGAAAAAAGGAAAAUAUAAAAACAAAAAGAUGAAAUCUUCAGGCUCAGAUGACUAUGAAAAUGUCCCAACUACCCAAUGAGACUGUUUCCCCAUUCUCAAGCUGGCCUCCAACAAUUGAGCCAUGUCAUGUUUUAGACUUUGGAUGACACAUGGUUUGUUUCUGCAUCUUGUUAUCUCUUUUCUAAAUUCUGAAAUCUUCUUCAAUUCAUGUUGCUUGCUGACAAGUGGAACUAAUUGCUCUGCAUAUAGGUUAUCAUCGUCAGAAACAACAGAAUGCUGUGAAUUACUUGGACAACGAUAGAGUAAGCAAACGUUAAAAGGUAAUGGCUUCCACACCGCAUUCUGCCCUUGGUUUGAAAUUUUGUUUCUUGGUGUUCUGUCAUUGGACUCGAUCGCUUACCAGGACUAGUUCAAUGUAAAUUGCUUUCAAGCUGUUGUGUAGUUUUAUGAUAAUGGUAAUUCUAUUAACCUUGUCACUUGGUCUAAAUAUUUUAUAAUGACGUUAGAUGGAAUAUUUUAAUGGUUAAAUAUAAUAAAUUAUUAUGAUUAGGUAAGGUAAGAAAGAGUCCGUCAACCAAAUUAUGAACACAUACAUUGAAGACAUAAGAAAAUUCCUAGAAAAUAGCGUAUUAUUAUCCUGCCACUUGAUUGAAAGCAAUGCGUCCAUUAAUAACUUAAUCUAAAUUAUUUUAGUACCAAUCAAUCGCCCAUUCAGUUAAUAAACAAUCCUAGCGCUAAUGGUCGGUAAAGUCUAAGUCAACACAGAGCGAUAAAGCGUUGCAUACAAGAGAUUCAUCAAAACAAGCAGUCUCUUCAAACCCCCAAUUCAUUCAUUCAUUCUUCUGUGUUCAUCAACCAAAUAUCAUGGGAAAUUUGUGCGCAAUCUCAAUCUCAACAGCGGAUACAGUCUCUCGUUGCUGGGAUUGCAUUGUUGGACAAGCAAGUUACACAUGUAAGCUUGAAGAUAAUCUUAAAGCUCUCACUGUGGAAUUGGCGAAACUAAAAGCACGAAGUGAUGACUUAAAAGAUAGGGUUGAUCUUGCCGAACAACAACGUAUGAAGCAGCUCAACCAAGUUCAACUCUGGCUUUCAAGGGUGCAGACUGUGGCAGCUGAGGCUGAGGAAUUGAUCCAAAACGGUCCUCAAGAAAUUCAGAAAUUAUUCUUUGCUGGCUGCUUUUCCAAGAACUGUAAGUCUAGCUAUAAGUUUGGUAAACAAGUGGCCAGAAAACUUGAAGAAAUAGUGGAUCUAAAUGAAAAAGGAGAAUUCGAAAGGGUAGCUGAGAAUGAACUUGCCCCCCAAGUGGACGUAAGACCUACUGAGCCUACGGUGGGUUUGGAAUCAACAUUGGCUAAUGUCUGGCGCUUACUUGAAGGAAAAGAUGUGGGCAUUAUUGGGCUAUAUGGCUUGGGAGGAGUUGGUAAAACAACACUCUUGACCCAAAUUAACAACAAGUUAAGCAAUAACCUAAUCGGUUAUGAUGUUGUUAUUUGGGUGGUGGUGUCUAAAGAUCACACUAUCGAAAAGGUUCAAGAAAAAAUUGGUGAAAAGGUUGGCCUUUCAAAUGAGUUGUGGAAGAGUAAAAGUUAUGAUGAGAAAGCUAUAGAUAUUUUUAGAAUUUUGAGCAAAAAAAAGUUUGUUCUGUUGAUGGAUGAUGUGUGGGAGCGGGUGGAUUUGAUCAAAGUUGGAAUACCUGUACCGAAUCAGGAUAAUGUUUCUAAAUUAAUUUUUACAACUCGCUUCUUAGAGGUAUGUGGAAAAAUGGAAGCUCAGGAGAAAAUGGAAGUAAAGUGUUUAAGAAAAGAUGAAGCUUGGGAAUUGUUUGAAAAAAAGGUUGGAGAAGAAACCCUUGACAGCCAUCCAGAUACUCGAGGGCUAGCUCAACAAGUAGCUGCAAAGUGUGGAGGACUACCUCUUGCACUGAUUACAAUAGGUCGAGCCAUGGCUUGCAAGAAGAUGCCCCAAGAUUGGAAAUAUGCAAUUGAGGUCUUGCAAAAGUUUCCGCAUAAAUUGGCAAGAAUGGAUCAACAGGUGUACUCUCUUUUAAAAUUUAGUUAUGAUAGCUUGCCUACUGACACGAUGAGGUCUUGCCUUCUGUACUGUAGUUUGUAUCCUGAAGAUUUUUUCAUUAGUGUUAAUCUGCUAAUAGAUUGUUGGUUUUGUGAGGGAUUUUUGGGUGAAUUUGGUAACAUAAGUGGAGCUCGAAUGCAAGGGUACAACAUUAUCAAUUCUCUUGUUGAUGCUUGUUUAUUAGAAAGAAGUGAAUAUUUUGCAGAAUAUGUAAAGAUGCAUGAUGUGAUUCGUGACAUGGCUUUGUGGAUAGCAUGUGAGUGUGAAGCACUUGAGAAGAAAUUUUGUGUACAAGCAAGGGUAGGAUCAAACAAGACACUUGAUUUUGAAAGUUGGGAAGGUUUAAGAAUGUCUUUGGCGUAUAGUGGAAUUGAAGGUCUAAGAGGAACACCUAGAUGUCCUAAUCUUCAAACUUUAUUUCUCAAUGGUAACAAUUUAAAAGUAAUUAGUAAUGGUUUCUUCCAAUUUAUGCGAAAUUUGAGAGUUUUAUACCUAUAUUUUAACAUGCAUCUUUGUGAGUUGCCAAAGGGAUUUUCAGCACUAGUUUCACUAGAGUAUCUCGAUCUAUCAUUUACAAGUGUAAGAGAGUUACCAAUCGAGUUGAAUAGGUUGUCAAGAUUAAAAAUUUUAAACUUGGUAGAGACAAUAUAUCUCCAAAAAAUCCCAAGACAAUUGAUAUGUAGAUUUUCAAAGCUGCAAAUAUUCAGAAUGUCUGUAUUAAGUUCAUAUGAAGAUGAAAUGGAUGAAGACAAUGUCUUGAACGGUGGUAAUGAAGAUCUAUUAAAGGAAUUGAAAUGCUUGGCCCAUUUGGAUGAGCUGCGCAUAGAAAUAAAAAGUGUUUUUGCUUUAGAAAGCCUUUUAAGCUUUCACAACUUACGAGGAUGCACUGAGCAACUUUUGCUCCUAGAUUUUCGGGAGACAAAGGUAUUCAAUGUUUCCUGUUUAGCAAAUAUGGAGCGUUUGGAGAGCCUAGUUGUUAGAAAAUGUGAAAGCAUGGAAGAGAUGGUCAUGAGGAAGAUGGAGAACGAAUUCGGGGAAGGAAGAAUGAUAGAAUCCUCUUCACUCUUUCCAACUAAUAGUAAUCGUAUUGCUCCUUGCUUUCAUGUACUGAGUGAGGUUUCGCUGGGCGGAUGCAACAAGUUGAAGAACGCGACGUGGCUUGCUUUUGUUUCAACCCUAACGAAGCUUGUUGUAAUGUCUUGCUCAAGAAUGGAAGAAAUAAUAAGUGAUCAAGUCACAAACAUGGUUGAAAUUCCAAAUCCAAGCCCAUUUGCUAAGCUAGAAAAGCUUGAUUUACGAGAUCUACCGAAAUUGAAGAGCAUAUGUUGGGGUGCCUUACCUUUCCCAUGUUUACGGCAAAUUAGAGUAUUCAAUUGCUCCAAGUUGAUAAAGCUUCCACUCAACUUCGACAGUGGGAAUCAAAUUAGCAUUGAAGGAUAUCAAGAGUGGUGGGAAAAGAUUCAAUGGAAUGAUGAAGUCACUCGAAAUGCUUUUUUACCUUCUUUCAAAUGUGUAGAUUGGUGGAAAGACGUAGAUUGGGAGGAUGAAGCCAUUAUACAUCCUACUUUGUUGUUUCGGUAACGAUUGUAAACGAAAGGUAUGUGGUAUUUUUCUCUCUUGUAUUAUCAUUGUCUUCAAAGGUGAGAUAGCAUGCUAAUUGUUUGAUAUAAUAAGGUCUCUUUCAAAUACGUUUCUAACUUCUACCUUUUUGUUCUCUUUUACUAAUUUUAAAGGUUUAAAUUAUCUCUAGUACUGUUCAUAAUUGAGAUGAAGACUAAAAUCUUCAAAAUUUCUAUUGAACAAGUAAUAUGCAAUACUUUCAAUGCAAUUAUAUGGUAUAGACAUAGAAUUUUCAAGGGCAAGUGCAUGGAAACAAAUUCUUUCAUGAUGCACAAUCUUCUAACUUGGAAAGGAGUUAUUAAAGGUUAAGAGGUCUUGAGAUAAGUCUUUAAAUGCUAUAAACAAGGUUAUAGUACUUUCAGGAAUUAAUUUUAAUUCUUAUCUUUCUGUCAAAUACUGAAUCUUGAAGGAUGUAAGAAUGACAUGAAUUGAAUAGGAAAAUAAUUAGUACAUUUAUGCUAUACACCAAAUACAGUAUUAGGGCUAAUGCUGCAUAAUUAUGUAAGGGUGUCAUACAAUGAAUUGAAUUUCCAAGAAUUCAUGUGUUAUAAAAGAAAAGAAAAACAACUUUAUGCAUUAAUAAAGGAUUCAACAUUGUGGUUUACAAUGUCAAUUCAUCUAGUAUGUCAACUAGAAAGUUUCGUUGCUUAAAAUUACCCAGUAAUCUUUAAUUCUUCAUAGUCUUCAUUACAUGUACAGGAAACACAACAUAUUUGGGAGCAACUAUAGAAGCAAUAAUAACUUUUCUGCACUGAUGCAUAUCUUCUUAUUCUUUGGGCAGAGACUAGUACAUGGACAAGUCAAUCAGUUUGAUGAUAGCUACAUGUAUUUGGAAAUCAACAUUGAAAGAGAGAAAGGAUGCUGGAAAGUGUCUCAGGACAUUUCCUCAGUGGUCUAAUAAAUUUCUGGAGUUAUGGUCUUGAGGAGCAGAAAACAAUGAAGAACUCAUCAAAUGUAAUAAAUCACAAAGUAUUGUUUGCUUUUUUCUUCUUUUGUUAAGUUUAGUUUGUCUUGGACCUUUGAGAUAGUUAUUUGUAUGUUUUAUUUUGUGUGGUUGUCUUGUUUGUAUCAUAUUUUGACUUGAUUUUCUUGGAGAAAUUUCUAUUUAUAUCUAUCACUUGAUAUUUCUCAACUAAAACAAAUCAAGAUUAGACAUGCUUUCUUGUACAUCACUACUUACUCCCACAAAUCAAGAAUUAAUCUUUUGGAUACUCCCAUUUCGGGUGAUAAUAGGUUAGUUUGCAAAAAAAGUUUAAUUCUUUGGGUUUCUCUAAUUUGUUGCAUUAAAAGGAAUCUAUCAAAGGGAUCCUCUCCUAAGAUUUUGUUAGUGCACAAAAAUAAGGAGAAGUAGGGUUCAGCUAAAAAAAGAAGGAAGAAGUUGAAGGAGGGCAUUUUUGCUGGUUUGAGUAAUUCUAAGUCCCUUUCCAUUUUACCUAGAGACAAUUUUGUUUUUGAUGCAAACAUUGCCCAUAGAAUUCGAUUAUUAAAAGGGAAACCACUGAUUUUGUAAAAUUGGCUAAUAGCUUUGGGGGUUUUUUUUUUUCAUGAUCCGAAUCCUCAGGUUAUUAAUGCCUUGGUUGAUAUAGAUAUCUUUUAGGAUAUGUAAUCUUUUCUAUGUGUCUUGGGGUUUUUUUCCCCUAUGUUAUUUCUCACAUGGAAUGUCAAAGGGAUGAAUAGUGGUGAAAAAAAAUCUUUUAAAAGGAAAAUCUUACCAGUUAAGUUGAAUAUGGUGUUUUUAUGAGAGUCUUGAUAAAAUAGAAUUAUUUUAAUCUUAGAAUUGUUCUUAAAAGUUAGUUAAGUUCUUGAGUUUAUAAUAGUAUUUAGUUAUUUUUAGUUAUUUUCUAAUUAGUUUAUUUUUAUUAAGUUAUUUUAUUUUAUACUAUUUUUAUAUUUAUUUGCCUUAGUUUAGUUAAUAUUUAUUAAUUUUUAUAUUUUUGUGGGACUUUAAAGGAAUAAGGCUUGAUUUUGCUGAAGAAAAGUGUUUAGAGAGCUCAAGCUCUGUUUGUAUAUGUCACAAUAAUUUGAGCAUAACUUUCAAUCCCAAUCUCAAUUCCAAUGUCCAAAUAAAGUCAUUCUUGACCGAUGGAAAGCUAAGAGAUAGAGUUACAACUUUCAUUCAAGUUACUUUGCCCAUUUAUGCCUCGAUGAUAGAGAAAAUUGCAUUGAAAGUUGCCAGAGUGUUGUAGUCAAAAAGAGAAGGCUUGAAGCCAAGGGAGCAUAGCGGCAUUGAUGGGGUGUGCCACGACAUCGAAGAGAAAAAUUUGAAUAAGUUGUUGCAAGAAAGAAAAGGAUUCGAGCUGACUUAAGUCCUCUGGGCUCUACACUUAUUUUAAGCUGAAAUUAAGAGUCAUUAGGCUAAAGUAGUUAAGUUUAUGACAAAUUAGGUUAAUUAGUUUCGAUUAUAUAUAGAUAACUUGAGAAGAAGCUAGCCAUAAGAAGAAAAUCUUAAGAGAAAUUCAAGAAGUUAAAAGGUUGAGGCUGAACAUUGAAGAUCAAGAUUGUAAAAUUUGUUUAUUUUCUUCUUCCUUAGCUUUUAUUAUUCUUGUUACUCUUGAUGGCUAAACUUCAUAUUUUUUUAUUUAUUAUUGCAAUUAUGAGUUGCUAAAGUUCUUUUUCUAGGACUGCAAUUGAACUCACAUGUAAUCUAAAGUUUUAAUCUAUUUCUAGCUUAUUUUCAAUGGAAUUGAAUUGUAUAUUCUUAUUUGUCCUCAAUGCUUUUAAUUGCCUGAUUACUAAUUAAAUUGAUUUAGAAACCUAAACACAACUUUGGAUAGAGAGUUUAGUGAAGAAUAAAAUUAGAAUAACAUAUGAUCAUAUUUAUUUACUUGGUUGAAUAAAUUGAUUUAUGUAUAGAAUAGAGAUAUACCUAUAUUCCAUAUGUCAAGCCCAACUCUAUAAAAUAUUUGCCAUGUCAUUCAUGUGCUUGAUAAUAUGUUUGCAUACUUGGAAAGUCCCGAAAAAAAUCGUUAAAAGUCUGUAGUGAACCUAGUGGUACAACUAAGCUGAAUUAAGCCUCGAACUAGUCCAAAUAGAGAUUUUAAGAUGAAAUUGAGAAUUUUGAAAACUCAGAAUGACUUAAUAUGGUGAUUUGGAGUUCGAGGAUUGAUUUGGAGUCAAAUUGGAAUUUUCAUGAUGUAGGGACAAAAUGGUCAUUUUGCCACCUAAGGGCAAAAUUGGAAUUUUAUACCACCCAUCACUUGUCAUGCCUAAGGAUUUCAUCAAUUAACAUUUUAUAUUAUGGAUAAUUGAGAUAUUUUAUGUGGUGGUGAAAGAAAGCUUAGUUGUUAAUUGUUAAACAUGGACCAAUGGAAUGGUGACAAGUGGCAAGCUUUCAUUUCUUUAUAAUUUACAUUAAAAAUCAGCACAUGACUCUUCCAUUUCACUCCCAUAUGUUCAGCCUCGCCAAGGAAAAGAGGAAAGAAAGAAAGAACAAACCCUAGUGAGCAAAAAUUCAAGGGAAAAUUAGUGGAUUUCAAGAAAUUAAGCAAGUAAAGGUAAAAUUUCUUGAUUUUAGCUUGUGAUCUACCUUUCCUAUGCAUUCUUUUUCAUUUUCCAUGAUUGAGAAUCAAGUUUGCAUGAAGAUACCUUUGCUGGCCGGACAUGGAGGGAGGGAUUUUGAUCUUGGAUUUAGUUGGAAAACAUGUUAUUCUAGUGUUUUUAGUUAGUUGGUGAUGUGUAGCAUGAAAAACAAAUAAGAAAAAAUUCAUGUUCUUCCAUCACCCUCAUUGGCCGAAUCUUCCUUAUGGUAUGUUGAUGGUGCAUUUGAUUUCAUAUCAAGUGAUUUGGUUAGGAACUAAUGAUUUAUGGUGUAAAAAAAAUCAAGUAUGAAAAAUCAUAGUAUUUUUGCACCCACCAUGGCCGAAUUUCAUAAGGAACCUAGUGAUGAUGAUUUUUGUGAUAUCUUGUGUUAUUUAGUUAGAAUUUAAUGAAUGGUGGUGAUGGAAAUCGAAAAUAGUAAUUUUAAAGUAAAGUUCUUUUAGUAAAUAAGUUGAAUAAUAAUGAGAAAGUCAAGCUCAUUGAGGCGCUUUGGUGCAUUUUGGGACAUUGGAAGUGUGAUGAAUAUAAUUGGAGUCAAUUUGGAUGUUUUAGUUAAAUCAAAGAUGGAGAGUUCUAAUUAGGUCGAAAACUGAUCCAUUCCGAUCACAAUUGAACCAAAGUGUAACACCGUCUUUAAGUGACUAUCCAAACAACCUCAUGCAUUCAUAUAGAGCCUGAAAUAGAUUUAUAAUGACAUGACACAAUAUAUUGAAUUAUUUAUCGUGUAUUGUGUAUAGGUGGUGAAACUUUCGAUAAGAGUAAGGAGAUAGUACCCGAAGAUCGGGACUAGGAGUACUUCGACUCCCGAUAUCGUGAGUAACCUUAUUAUCGUUUUAAUUAUCUAAAGUAGUUUUUAUUCAUUUUUGUGAUUUUAUAGAAAAAUAAGUUUAAAUGGUAAAUCCUUAUGUUUUAUAAGUAAAAUGUGAUUAAAUGAAAUGAGUUUUAUAAAUCAUUUUGAAAUUAAAUGAUGAUUUUAGAAAUUGAGUAAUUAGAGACUAUUUGUUUGUGUUGUAAAUUUAUGGUUUGAAUUAAAUGGCUUAUGGUGAUAUUGGCAUCAAUGGCUGAAUUGCAAAUUGUGUUGAAAUUGUAUGAACUAUUUGUUUUGCCUUGAUAGGCUGGGUAGUAAUAUAAUUGCCAUGUCAUGCUGUCGAAACUUUUAUUGAUUUGGUGGGAUAUCGAUUAGCUUACUGCAGUGGGCGGGUUUCUGUGGACCAGCCUAUUAGAGGGGCAUGGUAAACCCUGUUAUAUUUUACCUCGGUACGAGAGGCGCGGAGGGUAACUCCUGAGGUAAAGCUUUAGAGUUCAUUACACGCUAAACCAUCACGUGAGAGUGAACUCAGCCAACGCUAAGGAACGGCUAUGCUUUUGAAUGUAAAAAUGUGUUUUAAGCUUAUAUGAACUUUUCUUUAACAACUAUGGCGGACUCGGUUAGAUGCCUCGUCCAAGGUAUCCCCGAGAAUAAGUUUUGGCACGAGCCAAAUUUUUAAGAAAUUCAUAAGCCAUGUUGAUUAUUUGAGUGAAAUGAAUUUAUUUUAUUUAGUUGAAAUGAGUUUGAAACGUUGUGAAUCAUAGUACGAGGAACUAUUUUAAGUUGUCUCCAUUUACUCGGCUCUAGAUAUUUUAGAUGAUGUUUGUUUACUCACUGAGUUUAUAUAAACUCACCACCUCCUUUUCACCCAUUUCAGGCUCAAGAUAAUCUGUAGAUAGCUGAUUUCGUCGAGGACUACAGUUGGAUUUGCAUCUUAAAAAAUUGUAGGUUCAUAGCCUUUGUUACCUUUGGUCAUUCGGGGGCCCACAUGUCAUUAUAAUUUAAAUUACACACUCUGGCUCACUGUGUUAUUGUAUGUACGAAUUUAUUUUGCUUUUAUGCUCCAAAAAUUAUUUACGGAUAUCUCUAUAAAUAUUGUUUUAUGAGAAAAUAGAAUAUUUCAUUUAAUAUUUUUAUUUUAUUCUAUUAGCUACAAUUUCACCCUAAAUGAAUGUUUUAGACAUCUAAACUUAAUUUUGGUUAUGAAAUAUGUAUCUUUCACUCAUAUACUACAUUUUUANAAAUUAUAUUUUUUUUAUUGUUUUGGUUUGGAAAUAGCUUAUAAUCUUUUAAAAUAUGAUAUUAGCAACUAUUGCUCGCAGGGGAGGCGAAAAAAUUGAUAUUAAAGCCUUGCAGGGUUUCGAUUGGCAUUUCGGGUAAUGUAUAUCUAUCGGGACAUCACGACGGUUGUCACGGGCUUGAGGAGAGUACCUGGUCGUGACACCAUAUGUAGCCAAGAUUAGAGCCUGAACUUGAUGAAUCUAUUUUAAUUUGAAGUCACAUAGGGUUAUAGUGUUUUAAUUAAAGUAGAUAUUUUUAUAAGAGUUUCGAAAAAGCCUUAUAAAUAAUUGAAGACUUCAGGGUAGCGAUUUAAUAUAUUGGAAUAAGUUAAGAGAGAGAGAGGUAAGAUUUAGAAGAAGUGAGAGGGAUAUCUUAAUCCUAAGCUUGUUUAAAUUUAUUUUUAUUCAAUUAAAUUUUUUCUUUGAUUUUUAAUUAUUGUUAAUUAGUUUCUUUCUUUUGUUAAUUAAUUUUUAAUUAUUUAAAUAAGAUUAAAUUAUUGUAAUUUUAGUAAUUAGUAAAAUUUUAAAUCAAUUUUUAAUGUGAUCGAUACUCUGCUUACAGUUGUAUUAUCUUUCUUAUACGUAUACUUGUGUGGAUGGAGAAUUUUAACAAUAAAUCUAAACUGAAAUCUAUUAAUUCCCAUUUAUUCAGCAGCCUUUGGAAUAUUAAUGGUAUUUCUUGGGCUUGUGUUUUUUCUAAAGGAGCUUCUGGGGGAUUGAUUUCUGCUUGGUAGGACUCUUUUUCUCUUGUGAAUCUAGAAUAGAAAGGAAGCACUUUACUUUGUUAAUUAAGACUCUUAAAAAGGUCAGUAGAUAGGUGGGUUUUGGGAACAUUUAUGGCCCUAAUGAUGAAGAUGACAAAAGAUCUAUUUGGCUUGAACUUGCCGAGAUUAUUAAUGAGUCCAAUCUGCCUUAGUGUUUGGGGGGUGAUUUUAAUAUUGUUCUUUCGUAUAAGGAGAUAUUGGGCUGGUAGGGUAGUGAAAGAACCAUUCUUCAUUUUCAAUAAUUCAUCAAUGAUGUUAGUUUGUUAGAUCUUCCUCUAUUUGGAGGUAGCUUUUCUUGGUGUAACAAUCGAGACCCGCCUUCAUUUAACAGGCCUGACAGAUUCCAUGUCGACCUUCAGUUCUAUCCUGACUGGCAUGACCUUGUGCGGAGAUGUCUUCCAUCAUCUCUUUCAAAUCAUAAUCCUAUUUCUUUAUGUGAUGGUUUUAACUCUUAGGGUCCUAGGCUUUUCCAGUUUUUCAAUUUUUGGCUUGAAAAUGAUAGCUUCCAAGAGUUGAGGAAUUUUGUAUGGGAUGCCAUAGUUUAUUUCAAUAGUUCUAGAGUUCUAUUGUGGGAAAGGCUCAAAUCUUUUAAACCAAAAAUCAAGUUGUGGCAGCAGUCAACUUUUAGGAAAUUUGAUGACAAAAUCUCUAUUUUAGAGAUUGAUAUUCAGGGGAAACUUAUGGCUUUACAGCAGGGGCCUAAUAAUUUAUCUCUUGGGGAGGAUUUUAUUCAUCUUAAAGUUGAAUUAUGGAAUCUUUACAAAAUAGAAGAACUUUCUUGGUACCAAAAAUCUAGAAUUAAGUGGUUUCUUGAGGGAAAUCGUAAUACUAAAUUCUUUCGCAUGGUUGCUUCCAACAAAAGAAGAUUGAACUGGAUUGAUAAAAUUUCUGUCAAUGUUAAAGUUUUUUCAGAACCAGAAUCUAUUUUGAAUUUUAUUACUACCUUUUUUGUGAAUCACUUUAAGAAGAUGACUGUUUUAAAAAUUUUUUAGUUUAAUUCUCUUUUAAACUCUUUGGAUUCUUCUUUUGCUUCACAUCUUGAAGAGCCUUUUUCUGAAGCUAAAAUUUGGUCUCCUAUUGAAAAUUCUGAUGGCAAUAAAGCGCUAGGUCCUAAUGGUUUCAAUAUGGCUUUCUUAAAAAACCAGUGGGGUAAAAUCACGAAUGAUUUGAUGUCUCUAUUUUCUGAUUCUUUUUUUAAUUUUGGUUCCUUGGAUAGAAGAAUGAAUUCCUCUUUUAAUUCUCUUAUCUCAAUAAGGGCUAAUUCGAAAAAUAUUUCUGAUUUUCAUCCUAUAAACCGUGUGGGCUGUCUUUAUAAACUAGUGGCAAAAGUCUUGGCUAAUAGGCUUAAACUUGUUAUGGGGAAUAUCACUGGCCCGAUAAAGUUCACCUUCACUCAGGGUCGACAAAUUUUGGAUUGUGUCCGAAUUACUAAUGAGAUCAUUGAUCAUAUGAAAAGGAUUCUAAAAGUGGCGUUAUUUUUAAAAUUGGUUUUCAAAAAGCUUAUGAUUGUAUUGACUGGGAGUUUUAGAUUUUCUUAUGGGCAAAAUGGGUUUCAGAUUCAAAUGGUGUAAAUGGAUUCAUUCUUGCAUAUCCACCGCUCAAGCCUUGUUUUGGCUAACGGUACUCCCACCAGGUAGCUUUCAAUGCAUAGGGGGUUUUGCCAAGGGUGUACCUUUUCAUCCUUUCUCUUUAAUCUUGUGGGUGAGGCCUUGAAUUCGAUGAUUAAUAGUGUUGUCCCUUUAGGAUUUCUACGUGGUAUUAAUGUUGGAAGGAAUGGUCUGGUGGUUUCCCAUUUUCAAUUUGCGGACGAUGCCAUCUUCUUCUGCAAACCAGACCUAGACAAUUUAUUAUGUACUCGCUGCAUUCUCUGAUGUUUUCAACUCAUCUUAGGUUUGAAAACUAAUUUCCAACGAAGUUUCUUAUAUGGUAUUGGGGUGGUAAGAAAUCUUUUCAAUGAGCAGGCCAGAAUUAUUUACUGGAAUGUUGAUAAAUUUCUUGCUUCAUAUCUGGGCCUUCCUAUUGGUGAUCAUCUCAAUUCAAAGGCCUUAUGAAAUCCUAUCAUUGACAAAUUCGAGUCAAGAUUGGCAAGCUAGAAAGCUAAUCUUUUUUCUUCUGGUGGCAGAGUUAUCUUGAUUAAUUAUAUCCUUGCUUUGUUGCCGGUUUAUUUUAUGUCUUUAUUUUGGAUGCCUAUUGAAAUUAAAGACAAGCUUGAUAAAAUCAUAAGAAGAUUCCUUUGGAGCACUAUAGUAAUAGAAGGAAAAUGCACCAUGUCAAUUAGGAUUUUGUUUGUCCUCCUAAAGAUGGGCGGGUUAGGAAUUGUUAAUCUGCACAUUAAAAAUUCUACUAUGCUCCACAAAUGGAUAUGGCAUUUUGGAGUGGAAAAUGAUAGCCUUUGGCAUGAAACUAUUAUCGAGAAAAAUGGUAUGAAUCCUAACUCUGUUCUUCCCAUUUGUUUUUCAUCAAGGAACAUGUCUUAUCUUUGGAAGAAUAUUGUUAAACCCUUGACUUCCAAUGAUAGUUUAUCUUGCAUUGUUAAGAAUGGGAUUGGAUUCUCUCCAAGCAUGGAGAAUAGAAUUAAAUUUUGGCAUGAUUGUUGGUAUGAUGGUUCACCUCUUAAAUCAUCCUUUCUUUGAAUUUUCGCCCCAUCUUUAUGUAAAAAUGGCUUUCUUAAUGGUUAUGGUGAGUGGAUUGAUUAUUUUUGGUGUUGGAAUAUUCCUUUAAGAAGAGUGCUCUUUGAUUGGGAAAAGGGAUAAUGGGAUCUUCUUAUUAAAUUAUUAUGAAUUUCUCCCUUAUCAAAGAUAAACUGGAUAGAAUAAUUUGGAAAAAGAACCUUAGUGGUGUUUACUCUGUUAGCAAAUUUUAUCGAUCAGCUUGUUAAGCUCUUGGUGCCUCUGAUGGGGAAAGUAAGUUUUGGAAUUUAAUAUGGGCUAAUCUUGCACCACCUAAGUGUGAGAUGUUUUGUUGGCAAGUCAUGAAAGGUGGUAUUGUUGUGAAAGCUGAAUUACUAAAAAGAUGAAUUAUCAAUCAUAAUUCUACCCUUGGUCCUAUUUGUAGUUAUGAAAUUGGGUAUAUUGACCACCUAUUUAAUGAAUGUCAGGAUGUUUGGAAAGUAUGGACUUGGUGACUUAAAGCUUGGGGCAUCUCAAGGGUCUUUCUUGGUAAGAUGUGUGAUCUUUUCAUUGCCUGGAAUGAUAAAUUUUCUGAUUAUGAUCGCAACUCCGUUUGGCGACUGGUUUUUUUGGUGAUCCUUUGGACUAUUUGGAUUCAUAGAAACAAUCUUGUUUUUAAUGAUAAUCUUUGGGAUCAUAGGUACAUUUUUCAUAUUGUGAAGCUUAAAGUGAGAUGGUGGAUAAGAGCCAAAUUGCCACAGGUUAAUUCUUCUGUUACUGAUAUGUUUUCUUUGCCAACUUGUAUUAAUGCUCCAUGUUCCAAGUAAAAAUCUAGGAAGAAGUGUGAUUGGGGUAAACCUUCGAUGGGUUUUAUGAAGUUCAAUAUUGAUGGUGCUGCUCGGGGUUGCCCCAGUCCUUCUGGUAUGGGUGGUGCAAUGCAUAAUCAUGAAGAACAUGUUAAAAUCCUCUUUUCCAAACCGCUUGGCCAUGGUGAUUCCAAUAUGGAAGAAAUCCUUGCUAUUAAGGAAGUUUUUUUUAUCUUUUUGUAGCUUUUUCAUGGUGCUGUAUUCAUUCCUUCAUUGUUGAAUUUGAUUCGUCUAAUGCUGUUUGUGGGUUAACCAAACAUUUUCUGUUCCUUGGAGAUUUAAAGGGAUCAUGACCAUAUCAAUUGUUUGAAGAACAAAAUCAAGAAUUGGUCUGUUAUUCAUACAUCAAGAAAGGCUAAUCACCUGGCUGACAGACUUGCCAAAUUGGCAGUGGAUCGCUCAACUGAUCAUCUUUAACUGUUUGCUUAGUUUUUUUUUUUCCUUAUGGGUUCCCUUAGUGUUGUUUCUGUCUUCUUUUGAUGACUUUCCACUUGUUUUUAUUGUCUGCAUUGGUCUUGAGAACGUUUUCCAUUUGUUCUCUGUUUCUGUUUGUGGCACCUUGUAUUGAAGAGUUCUCAUCUGCUGAUGAGGCUCUAUCAUUUUAAUAACAUAUGAUGCCAUUCAAAAAAAAAAACCAAAUUAAUCAAACUGAAUUAUUAUAUUUUAAUUUGAUUUUCAUUACAAUAUGAUUUGUUUUUUUUUUUAAAUAAAAACCAAAAUUUGCAAUUUGAUCUAGAUUUACCCUUGAAAAACUGAUCCAAACCAAACCAUGCUCAUCCUUUUUAUUUUGGGGUGUUGAUUUGGGCAUGGUAAUAGAUAAGACCUUAAGAGAGGAGAGAGAAAUAACAACAUGGAGGUGAUAUGAAAUUAAAACAGAAAACAAAGAACCUUUGCUAUCAAUGACAAUUCUUGCAUUGAUAUGUCAAAAACCAUUUUAGGGCAUGAAUCUUUUAAUUACAACAAGAAGUAGAUGAAUUGUCCUAUUUGCUUCAUCAUGAUCCUACAUAUAAUUACUCUAAUUUGUCUAAACUCUGAAUCCUAUAAAGAGUCCUUUGAGACUUGAACAAGUGAUAUAAAAAAAGAGGAAAAAGCCAACAAGAAUAUAUAGUAUUACCUUGCAAAUGUUGACCAGCAGAGUUGCAUUUAUGCUGAAGGUCGUCAUCAAGUUCAUAUACGAGAUCAAUGACAAAUUCUUUUACAUAUAAAUCAGAAAAUACUGUACAACUCACUUGAUCACCUUCUUCCAAUUCACCCAUAAAUCUCCAAGAACUAAACCAAAAAAUAUUGUUCUUGGCGUUAGGAAUUCCGAUGAAAUUUUUAUAAUAGAUCUAUUUAGUAUCUUUGGUCUUGUUGACAAUCUCAAUACGUGAUAAAAAAUCAAAUAUUUUAUUGUCUUCCUUAAAAAGAAUGGCCCCCAAGUUUAGAUAGACAAUAUGUUGACCAAGGCUUCGGGCCACUACAAAUGAAACCUUGUUUCCGACAGCAUGAUAGUCGUACCGACCCUUUGGAAGGUCAUAUAUAUCAUACAUGCUAAUUAUCCCACAAUCAUAUAACACCUGUAACAAUAUUAAAUUAAUUAUAAGUUAUAAAAAGAAAGAAAAGAAUAAUAAACCAAAAAUAUUAGAAAGGAGAUCAAGGAAACCUUAGGGGAAGCAAUCAUUUUUUAUUCCUCUAAAUCAUUGUAAAUUUGCACUUUGAUAUUUCCACUUGAGCCCAAUUUGAGUAAUUCUUCAUUAACUUUCAACUCAAUCUCUCUCCAAAUAUCUUCAUUUUCUAAAAGAUGAAAAAAAUAAAUAUGUCAUUAUUAUACAAUUUUAAUAAUCAAAUACUACAUUUCCAUGAGUAUUCGUGUAUAAAAAAAUUGAAUUUAAAAAUACAACAAAAAAAGCCUUGAAGAUACAAUAGUAUAGUGGUGCAUGAAAAAAAAAAUUAAAUUUUAAAUUAGGAUCCAGGUUAAAAUUAAUAUUAAUAUAUUAAAAGAAUGCUAAGAAUUUGAGACCCAAUUAAUUUAGAAGACUUAGGUUGAAAUUAUAGGAAAAGGACAAGAAUAGAUGAGAAAAUGCUACAUAUCAUUUUUGUAGCUUAAGAUCAUAUGUAUAAGAAUAGGAACAAUAUUAUAAGUGAAAAGGCUUUUGUUAAGGGGGAAAGAUCUUCCAUUUUUAAGAAUCGAGGACUUGAUUAUAUAUGACUUAUAAGUAACGGCAUACUUUUUCCCUACGAGGUACUUUUUUUCAAAAGAACAAAAUUGCAAUAACAAAUCUCAAAAUAGAUAAUAUCUUGUAAUCUAAUGUAGUCCAAUAAAUCUAGCAUUAACAAAUGGCUUUGUUUGUGGGACUCCCAUACUGACCUUCAAAGAAAACACAAUCUACUCUGAUUGGGGUGUUAAUGUUGAGGGAAAAAAUUCCACAUCUUUUCUUUUUUUGAAAAAAAUUAGAUUCCACAUCUUUAAGAACCAAAGAUUGAAUUGUAACUUAUAAAUAAAGACAUGUUCCCUCACAAGGUGCCUUUUUUCAAAAUGAUAAUAUCGUCAAGGUAGGCCUUAAAAAAAAACAAUAUCUUGUAAUAAGGUGCAAUCCAACAAUCCUAUCAUCAUUAGCUCUUUUUAUAUUUAUUGCUAUAGUUAACCUAGGGUGAUUUAUAAAUAUUUUGACCUAAAGCAAGCAUCUAUAGGUGCUUAUAAGAUAGACCAAGCUCAAUUAACAAUUCAAAAACUUAAGCUUGGGCAAUAAGGCCUAUUUUUUCCUAUUUAUUAUUUAAGUAUUAAAAAUAUUUUUGACAUAAUAUCUAAAAAAAUCCUUAAAUUAUUUAAGAAAAUUUAAACAAACCUUUACACUUUUAUUGCAUUAAUCAAGUUCUUAUACUUUUAUUUUGAGUCAAAUAAGUCAUUGUGCUUUUAUUUUGAAUCCAAUAAGUCUUUAUAAUUAAAGAUUGACUUAAUCAAAGUGUCAUUUAUCAUUUUAUAUUAUGUGACAUUGACAUAACAUUCUAACAUGUCAUAAUUGAUAAUGCUUUGACAUGCUAACAUAUCGUGUACUUAGUUUUUUUUAUCUCAAAAAUUCAUAUAUUAAUUUAAAAAAUUUCCAUGAAAAAAGCAAGAUAUAAGAAACAAUUGAUAUAUAAAGUCAAGCCAAAAAGAUAAAAAGUUCUUAUAAAUGCUAUUAGGUGCAAUCAUACCUUGAGAGUAUUGUGGAGUAUCAUCUUCAUACAUAACCUUGGUUUUUGAUACACAAGUAACACCAAAUUCUCUUACAUUGAAACCAGAAGUUGAUAAUUUGCAGCUCACUAAAUCACCAUGUUCCAACUGAUAAUCCAUUAUUGGCCAAUGGAUUAGCCAUAAGAUUGUGUUACUAUUGGUUUUAGGAAUUCCAAUGAAACUUGAGAAAUAAGACCACGUCAACUUCUUGGUCUCAUUAACAAUUUGCACCGAUGCUAGAUAUUCAAAUAUCUCAUCACUAACAAGAGAAUAUACUAUGCAUAGUUUUAACCAACAAACUUUUUCACCAGGAUUUUGUGGCAAAGAAAAAGAAAUUUUAGACCCUUUAGAGCGAGACUCAAAUAAGAUUGGAACCUCAUUUCCGAAGACAAAGCAGCUAGUUAUGUCGCCAUCAUGAAAUAUCUGAGACAUUAAAACCAUUAUUUAUGAAAGUAUUAAAUAAUGUAUAAGAAGAAAAUAAAAAUUUUUAGUAGACUGAGAAAAGACCUGGGUGGUAGCCACCAUUUUUGUGUCCGUAAGAUAGUUAUAAAUUUUCAACUUAAUGCUUCUGAUCAAGUCCAUAUUGAAUAAGCUUUUGAUCUUUUCCACUUCAAAGUUUUCAACUGGUUCCGACUUGAACACACCUUCAACCUCAGUUAGCUUUUCACAACCAAAGACAAUACACCUUUUCAAAUUUAGUAAGCAUGGCAGACAUGAAAUCCUAUACAAUGAUUGAGACGUUAUCACACGCAAGCCACUCGUUGGAAGCUUUGGAAGCCAUUGGAGCUCUUUGCAACAAAUCAGCAGAAGUUCAUCAAGGUUUGUAAGGUGGAUAAUGCUCUCAGGAAGGCUAGGAAUUGGGUUUCUACUUAAAUUUAAUGAUUUCAAGGAAGGUAAGUAACUCAAAUCAACAGCCAUAACAUCAUUAGAUAGUCUGCAACUUUCAAGACUCAACUUUACCAAAGAACAUGGCAAAGAUGCCCAAAAGAAACCCAACUCUUUGCUUCUUUUUAGUGAUAACCAAGACAACCAGGAAUUGGAUUCAUAGAUAGGAGUUCCAUCUAAGUUAAGCACCCUCAAUGAUUUCAUAUUCUGCAAAUCCCUAGGUGCAUCAUUAAAUGUUGAGCAACCAGAUAAAAUAAGUUCUUCCAAAUAUUCUAACGAACCAAUUGUCCUUGGAAGUUUUCUUAGAUUUUUGUAACCUUUAAGGUUUAAAACAACAAGAGUCUUUAUCUCAGCAAUAGAUUGAUCAACCUCAAUCAACUUUGUGCAAUCUUUCAGCAUCAACCUUUGAGACUAUGAAGACUUGAUAAGUUAAGGAUUUUGAGAAGACCAUGGGAGUGACUGAGAUUAAGGAUCUUCAAGUUUGGAAGAAAGUACUGUAGAAAAGGAAAAAAAAAUUAGCCUUAUAAUUUUGUUUUUGCUUUACAAAAAGUAAAGAGAAAUUAAGUAGUAUCACACCUUUGUAUCAUUCCAAACACAUUUGAGGCUACUGUUGCACAUCUCAAGAACAACUAGCCUAGAAAUAUCUAAAUCUUUAGGAAGAAAUUCUUGAGGAAAUCCAUGCCAACACAACCAUAUUAAGCUCUUAGGGAAGUCUCUGUAGUCUCCUUUAAGUUUUACAUAAUCUAGUUGAAGUAGUUUAAGUCUCUGCAUCUUUGCAAAAGCAUUAGUUUCUAUAUGUACCUCAUUUGACAUGAGAAAUGAAUUUUUUGAAUGAUUUGCAGUUGCCUUUCCGUGCUUAUCUUCUAGCAAUCUUUGAAAGCCAAUGGUAAGGCACUUGAUUGUUUGUGUGCCCUGUUGGAGAAAGAAUUUUUUAGUUUAAAAAAGUACGAUAUUAGAAAAUUGAAUAAAAAGAGUAGAAGAAAAUGAAAUCUCUCUUACAAUUUUUUCUCUUAAUGCAUCAAAUGCGUCCUUAUGCCACAACCUGCUUCGUUUGCCAAGGUCAAAAGAUUCUUGACGAAUAAUGUGCCUUCCCAUAUCUCUAAUCAUUUGAUGCAUCAUCAACUUGUUUCUUUCAUUAAUAACCAAAAGAGACCUAUUUAUGAGAUUUUCUAUACCAAUUACUGUAUAGUAAUCACAACCAUCUAGAAUUUUAAUUGUGUAAUCUCUAUCCUUCCCGAUGAAUACACAAGCUAUGUCAAGGAAUAGAUUUUUAUCAUGAUCAUCUUGUAGGGAACCAUAACUUAUUCUUAGAAUCUUUUGAAUUUUGCUAUGAGGGAUUGCUUUCAAUUUCUCUAAUGCACUUCUCCACACAUUUAUACUUUUACUAGACAAAGAAGAACCCAAAACUUGAAGAGCUAAUGGAAGCCCACCACAAUGUUUCACUAUACUCUUUGCAUAAUCCAUAUAACUUUCAAUUGGAUCAUUCUGUCUGAAGGCAUACCAAUUAAAAAGUUGAAGUGAUUCAUUGAAAGCUAAUUCUUUUACUUCAAAUACCUUGCAUAAGUCUCCAUAAUUGGAUGAUGCUUCAAGAUCAAACAUUUGCUUAAUAAAAAGAUCACUCAGUAGACAUCGAUGCCUGCUAGUUACAAUGAUUUUACUUCCUGGAUGAAAAGGAAUUUGCACUCCAAUUAUUUCAGUUACUUUUUUUGAAUCAUCCACAUCAUCUAGGACAAGAAGCACACGUCUAUGGCAUAUAGUUUCUUUGAUCUUAGUGAUUCCAUCAUCUAAAUUGUAUAUUUUGUUAGCUUUCCCCUUCAAGAUAUCUGAAAUAAGUUGUCUUUGCAAUUGAACCAGACCAUUGCUUUCUUGAGUAGUCUCUCUAACAUCAGCAAGGAAACUGUAACUUUCAAAUCUUUGGAAAUUCUGAUUGUAAACAAGUUUGGCAAUGGUUGUCUUCCCAAUCCCUCCAAUUCCGCAAAUUGUUGCCAUGCCAACCUUAUUUGACCCAUCUCUCAACCACCAAUUAAUGUGUGCUGCAAGAGCAUCUAUUCCAACUAAAUAGGGAGGGACAUAUAAAAUGGUGCGAUGGAGUUUAUUUUGAACUUGUUUAAUAAUAUCUUGAAUGAAUUGUGAUUCAUAUCUACAAAUGUUAAAAUAUAUAAGUGUUAAUAUAUUCAAAAUAUAACUUAGCACUUUUCAAAAAAUAUAUAUAUAAAACUUAGCAAAUGACAUCAUGAAAAUUGAGUAAAAACCUUUUUAACUUUGUUUGUUGUUUACAUAAUUUUGAUUUUUAAUUUCAUCUUAACUCAUCUUACCUAUGUUAAAAUUUUUAAAUGUAUGUUAAAUAUUAAGGACUCUUUUUUAGAAAUCUCAUGAACUAUUUUACUUAAUAAGUUACUUUCUUCACAUUAAAAAAAAAAUGGAACUUUCUUUCUUUAUUUGUAUCUUGAAAGGUACCACUCAAAAAAAUUAGAGAUGGCAAUGAAUAUCGUCCGCUCCAAACCCAACCCAACUCAAUAUUUUCUUAUUCUAAACUUGCUUCACCUUGACACUGGGUUAUCAACUUUAAUACCCAACCUCGAACGCAAAAAACUAUAUAACCUGCAUUCGACCUCUUCUACCUCAAAAUCCUUUUUUUUAUAUUAUAUUAUUUUUAUUUUCAUGUAAUUUUUUAUUUUUAAUGUAAAUUACAUCUUAAUUACUUUUAAAUAUAUUAUAUUAUUAAGUGUUUUUUCCAAAUUUUAUUGUAAUUAUCAUAGUUUAAAUUACUAUGAAUUUUAUUAUUUUAUAGCGGAAAUAAAAUAACUCCAAAGAAACUAGCUCCCGGGUUUAGGGAUACCCGGAUCUACAAGAAUUAUCAUCUCCCAAACCAAAUCCAGCAGCCACCAUUUGGGAAAAGGCAAAACAAAGAAUAUUAGGCCCGUCUAAACAUGUCCUAAACCAACCAAAAGCAGUUAAACUUCUAUCCCUUGCAAAUAUAUUAUUAAGAUAAUAUCUCUAAUUAAUACUAAAUAAUAAAUUUAUAAAUUUAUUAAUAUAUUAUACAUAUAUCUGUAGAUAUAAAAUUAAAUAAAAUACUUUCUAUUAUACCUCAAGGUGGGCACCCUAAACCUGACCCCAACCUCGGCCUAAUUGUUUAAUUGUAAAACUCGACCCAACCUGCUUCGACCCCCAAUUUUCAAAAAAAAAAAAUAGUCCUAUCAGGUUGGGGCAAGACAAAACCCAUCAAGUACGGGUUAUUUGGCCAUUUUUAUGUUUUUCUAAUUCUUUUUGUUGGUCCCUAUUUUUAAUAUUACAGAAUUUAAGAAAAGUGUAUUGGUUUCAUUGAAAUUAUGUCUUUAUCUCUAGUCAUUAUAACUUUUUGGUCAUGUGAAAUUUAUUGUGUAAUAUAAGAAACACUAAUAGGAAUGUCAACUUAGGAUAUGAAAAAUAACAAUUUGAGAAAUUUAUAAAAAAAAAUGGGGCAAUCAUUUCAUGACCCAUGAGGCAGGUUGAGAAAUUAUUUUUCACUAGAUUGGUGCUUUUAGUUACAUUCGAUGGCCCUAUAAAUCGAAAGCAAGAUUGAAAUUCAAUGUUCAUCUUUACGAGGCUAAGGAAGAGAAGAUUUAUGCUUUGAAAUUAAACCUCAACUGGGAGUUUAACAGUCCUUUAUCAAGUCAAAGAAACAUUAAAAUAUUCAAUCACGAAGUGAAAAAACUAUCAUGAAAUUGUGGGCAUAUAUAGGAUUGCAAUUUUUAAGAAAGGAUCGAAUAGUUUCAAACUUGCUUACCUAUCUUCUAGAAGCAUGCCGCACAAAUCCGCAACUUCUCUUAAAGCAGUCCUCCAUCUUUGUACCAUGUCCAUCUCAUACUUGAAGCUCUCUUCAUGUCUAGCAAACGCUUCUGCAAAACUCCCUGUCUGCUUCUUGACUUGAGAUGGAUUCACAUCAUAGAAAAUUGGCAAAACAAUGUGUUUGGAGAAUUUCCUAUGUUCCAUUAUCUUGACAAGUUCGUUAAGACACCAUGUUGAUGAAGCAUAAUUCUUUGAAAAGACAAUUAUAGACAUUUUUUAGUCAUGCAAUGCUCUUUCAAUUUCGUCUUUUAUGUUCUCCCCUCUCUCAAUUUCAUCAUCAUCUCUAAAUGUGUGAAUUCCUGCAUGCACUAAAGCCAUGUAAAGAUGAUCCGUAAAGUUCUUACGUGUAUCUGCACCUCUAAAACUUAAGAAUACAUGAUAAGUAUAUUGAGAAAUUGAUGAAGAGGACUCCUGGACCAUUGAAACAGCCAUUGAAGAAUAACACAAAAGAAUUUGUAUUGGCUGAUGAGACACCUAAAAAAAUAUAGAACAACUCAUCAAAGGAAAGAAUUUAAUAAACAAAUUUGAAAGCCUUAUAUAUAACCAAGAUCAAAGAAUUAAAAAUAAGUAGUUAUAUAAGUUAAAGCUAAAGCUAGAGCUAGGAUUAAAGAUCAUACUUAAGCUAAGAUCAUACUUAAGCUGGUAAAUGAAUUUAGACAAGACAGCACCUUGCUAACAGCCUUUCGUUGCACUUGUACUCUCUACGAAGAGAAAAUGGAUUGUAAAACCAGAAAUGAUCAAGAAAUAGAUAACUUUUGCAUUUUUUAAGAAAUUAGACAGGAUGUGUUCUUAUCAAUUAAGAAUUGACAUGAUAAAGCCCUCUUUAAUACGUAUUUAUUUUUAUUUGUUGUCAUUUUCAGCUGACUUUUCACACCAUUGAACAAAGAAUUGGACUUAAGGCAAAACAUCAUGAUUCGUUAUCUGCAUGACUUAGACUUUGGGGUUGGGGUUGACGUAUCACAAUAUUUGACUCAGUAAAAGUGUAUGUAACUGUUAUAUUUCUGUUCUUAAAAAAAAAAAUAAUAAUUAGACUAGCAACAAUUUUAUUUUGAAAAGCAGAUUGCCAACAAUUUCAUAUAUGUUAAACAACAAUUAGGAUUUUUUUAACAAAAAUAACUUUAAAAAGUUAAGUGAGAUAUUAUUAUUAUUAUUUUUUGAUGAAGUGAUCAUAGUAAUUCUAAUUUGGAAUACAUAGAAGGAGUUGAAAAAAGUUAUCUAUAAAAAAACACUAGAUAGGCAAGAAUUUCAUAUAAGUUAAUUUUGUUAUGAACAAAUAUGUGAAUGUCCAUUAUGUUAUGACCUAAGAAGUGUAGACCAAGUCAAACAGCACAAUAAGCAAGAUAUAAGAAAUAUAAUCUGAUUUGAAUUCUUAGAUAGAAUUAGAUUACAAUUAUGAUUCAAGGGGUUGUUGGCCUAUAAAUAGAUCUCUGACUUCAUUUAUAAAUACACACUUGAAUAAGUUAUUCUUACUCCUUCUAAAUACUUUCUUUCUCUCUAAAUACUUUCUCUUAUAUUUCUCUUAUAGUUGUUAUUUUAAAAUUUAUUUCAUAACAUAUUAUCAACACGAUCAUCUCUGAUCCCUCAAUUAUUUUGUUUUCAUCAUCUUUAAGCUUCCAAAAGAUUUCAAUGAUUGGUUUUUGAUUUCUGAUUUUAGCAAAUUAGGUAAGUGUUAUUAUUAUUUUGUUUUCAUCCUCUCACAAAGGUUGUUUUUUUUUUUAUUUCUGAUUUUAGAAAAUCAAGUGACUUGAUAUCUCUUUAGUUUUUUCAUUCCCUAAAAAUCAACCUUAAUAUGAAUUUUGCUAUCAUAUAGUAUAUAUUAUAUUUCAUCUCUUGCUAUUAAUAAAAAAUCAUAAUGUCCAUUCCUUGAAGUGAAUAUGAAAAACGAGCUAUUAAUAAAAAAUUAUAAAUUUGUCUAUUCUUUGAAGUGAAUGGGACAUCAUUUAAUAAUUAAGGUUAUGAUCAUGAAUCUAUUUAUUCCUAAAAGUGAAUGCUACAUCAUUUAAUAAUUAUAAUCAUGAACAUGGAAGUGGUCAUCAUAAUAAUUUACACUAUCACUAUUUUAAUUAAGGAAAAUUUUACCACCAGAAGUGGAUGGAUAAUUUUGCCACCAAAGUGGAUGGAUAAUUUUACCACCAAAAGUGGAUGGAUACCUUAACCCACUAACCCAUGAAAAGUGGAUAACCCAUCAAAAGCAAAUAAAUACUUGUAACCCACCAAAGGUGGAUGAAUAAUGAAAAGACAAAAAUGGAAAGAAUAAAAAGAAUAUAGAAAAUGUAUUUACCAUUGUACAUACCUAUUGUACGUCUUGAAUUUUAUCAAGCAUCAAUGAAAACUAAAACAUCUUGUGAGGAUUAUGUUUGCCCACCUGAAAGAGGAAUUAAUUAUAUGAUUGGUAAUGGAAAUAUCCGUUGUUGAUUUUCUUGUUCUAAAAAGAGAAUUGAUCAUUUAAUUGGUAAUGAAAAUAUCCGAGAAUGAACUCAAUAGUAAUUGAUAUAUUAUGAAAAUGCUUUAAUAUGUUCUUAUUAUAUUUAAAUGAUAUGUUCUUUUUAUGUAUUUGAAUUAUGUAUUUAAUGUUAUUUCAUGUUAACUUGUAAAUUUCUUAUUGUAUAUAUCUUAUUUUAUUGAAGAAAAAUAUGGAUAUUUAUAUUGUUGGAUCCAAGAUCUAUGAUGUAAAUAUAUGUCUAGCAAACAUUGCUACAACGCACAUUAUAUGCAAAGACAAGAGAUAUUUUUCUCUCUUGACAAUGGAAAAAACCAUUGUCAAUACAAUAUCUGGUAAUACAAGAUUAAUUGAAGGCUUUGGAAGAGCUAAUAUUUUACUACCUUGAGGAAUACAGUUUCUAAUAGAAGAUGUAUUAUUUUCAAUUAAGUCUAAACAAGUUUAUUAUGUUUUAAAGAUAUUUGUCUGAAUGAAUAUCAUAUUGAGACAACGAAUGAAAGAGACACUUAAUACCUCUAUAUUACAUAUAUUAUCUCAAGUAGGAAGUGUGUGUUGAAAAAACAUUACUCACUUUGUUCUUCAUAUUAAACUACAUAAAUAUUAAAAUAAUUGAAACUCACAGUAAACCAGAAGUUUAUUGAUGAUUUUAAUGUUUGGCAUGACCGGUUGGACCAUCUUGGAUCAAUAAUGAUGCGAAAAUUUAUUAAAGAUUAAAAUGACAAUUCAUUGGAAAACUAAAAGAUUUUUCAAUCUAAUGACACACUCAUGUGCUGCUUGCUCUCAAAACAAAUAAAUUAUAAGGCUAUCACCAGUUAAAGUUGGGACUAAAUUCUUUAUUAUUUUGAAACAUAUUCAAGGUAAUAUAUGUGAACCCAUCCAUCCAUCAUGUGAACCAUUUAGAUAUUUUCUGGUUUUAAUCAAUGCAUUGACAAGAUGGUCACAUGUAUGCUUAUUAUCAACUCGCAAUUUGGCAUUUGCAAGAUUAUUUGCACAAAUAAUUCGUUUUGCGAGCACAUUUUUCUGAUUAUGUAUUCAAUCGUCUUGACAAUGCUGGUAAAUUUACGCCUCAAGUUUUUAGUAAAUAUUGCAUGUCAACUGGAAUAAAUGUUGAACAAUUUAUUACUCAUGUUCAUACACAAAACGGUUUAGCAAAAUUGUUUAUUAAAUGCCUCAAACUGAUUGCAAGGCCAUUACUUAUGAAAUAUAAACUCCCAAUUUCUGCUUAGAGACAUGCCAUUUUGCAUGCAGCAGCACUUGUACACAUCAGGCCAACAAGUUAUCAUAAAUUCUCCCAUAUACAAUUGGUUUAUGAUCAGGAAUCAAAUAUUUUUCAUUUAAGAAUUAUUGGAUGUGCGAUAUAUGUUCCAAUUGCUCCACCACAACGAACAAAGAUGAGCCUUCAAAGGAGAUUAGGAAUAUAUGUUGGAUACAAAUCUCCAUUUGUAAUCAAAUAUUUAGAAUUAUCAAUAGAAGAUUUAUUCAUGCCAAAGUUUGUCGAUUGUGAUUUUGAUGAAACAAUUUUUCUAAUAUUAGGGGGAGAAAAUAAGCAGCUGAAAAAGGAAAAUUUUUAAAAUGAAUUAUCAUUAUCUAGUUUUGAUCCUUGCACAAAUCAAUAUGAACUUAAAGUUCAAAAGAUAAUUCUUUUGAAAAGUAUAGUAAAUUAAUUGCCAGACAUAUUUAUUGACCUAAAGAGAAUAACUAAAUGUAUACUAGCUGCAAAUGCUCUAAUCAGAAUUGAUGUAGAACAAUCUGCUAUUGCUAAUGAGUCUAAAUCAGGCUAGAAGCGUGGAGAUCAAUCCGUUCAAAAUAUAAAAUCCUAAAAAAAAAGGAGCAAAUAUUCAACAUGGUUAGAAAGAGGAAGUAGAAACUCUAGAAGAGAUCCUUGACAUAAUUAAUAAAAUUUUAAAAGAAAUGUAGGUACCUGAAAUCAUUGAAAAUGAAGAGAUCUUAAUCAAUUAUAUCAUAACGGGAAAAGAUGGAACAAGAAUGACAUAAACAUUGACGACGUUUUUGUAUAUAAUAUAGUGCUCAAUAUUAUGAAAAAAAACGAUGAUCUUGAACUUAUAUUUAUUGAAGAAUGUAGACAAAAAAAUGAUUGACCAAUAUGGAAAGACUCAAUCAAGGUGGAAUUGAAUUCAAUUGCAAAACGUGAAGUUUUUGGAUCUGUAGUCUAUACAUCAAAUGGUGUAAAACCAAUAAGAUAUAAAUGGGUAUUUGUGCGAAUACGAAAUAAGAAAUUGAGAUUUUGAGAUAUAAAGCACAACUUGUCGCACAAGAUUUUAUCCAAAGAUCUAGUAUUGAAUAUGAAGAGAUAUAUUGUAACGACCGCUCCUCGGUCGUUACCGACAUUCGAGACCUUCGAGAGAACCCACCAAGUCCUAAACAAGCCUUAUUAGAGAUUCCUGAUAAUUGACUAUACUCGUUCAUGAAUCCAUGUUAUUGCUUUAAACAAUAUACUCUCGUGACAUGAUUUGAACAAUAGGCAUAACAAAUCAUUUUGACUUUUAAUCCAUGUGAUUAUAUGUAAAUACAUCAUAGUCUAAAAUCUCCAACUAAACAUUUAUAAUGAGACCAGUACUCAUUUACAAAAGAAAACAAAGUACAAUGACUCAACCUCUAGCAGCGGAGUGACUUGGAAUGAAAUGCUAUGAGAUGCCUUUACUUAUUUACGAUGAACCAUAAAUGUCGAUGAUUGCACACUAGGCCGAUCACUAUCUGCACAAAGGAAAUAAGGGGUUGAGUCUCACAGACUCAGUGAUCAUUGGCCCCGUGAGCAGGGAGUAGAUGGGAAACAAGCAAUAAGCAGAUCAUUUGAAUGAUAAAACCAGAAUAUAAAAUACUAAUCUUAUAAACCAAACCACAAGAAGAAUAUGUGUGCCUUGUAAAAAAUAAUAUCGUAAAAUCAUAAUACAAUGCUUUCUUUGGCAAAACAAUGCCGAAAAUAAGUGUAGCAGAAAGAGUUUCAAUCACUGGAAACAUCAUUUGCCAUCAAAAUAUGAAAUACAAUAUAAAGAUAUGCACACUCCCAAAAUGUGUGGCAUGUAAAGAAAUCAAAGUGUACAGCCACCUAAAUAAACUCAUGUUUGUCAAGUAAGCAUUAAAGGCUUUUAUUUAAACAAUGAGAGCUGUAGAGAAAAUCUUAACUCUCCACAAUGCAAGAGAGUAUGCGUUGAAAAAUCAUAAGGCUCUCGAGUAAGAAAGUAUAAUAUCAACACGUGGACCCAUUUUCACGUAAUAACAAUCCAAGAGUCUUACUGCACUAGAUUCCCAUAACCAUGGCAAUCUCCACAAUGUUCGCCAACAUCGAAGAAUCAAGCAGUAGCUACCGCGUAUAUCACUAGUGGCCUAACCACGUAUAAUAUCACAGGUCGUGGCCCCCGCUAUGCCUAACCUCCCGUUGAUGACCCAAAGGUUUUCUAGCUAGAGCUCACUCAUGCACGAGGGUCACACUUAACUGAAGUGACAGCUGGCCUACUCUCGACGCACUUGGUUUUGUCAAAACCAUUUUCAAAAAUCAAAUCGAGGUUUCCAAGUCUUUUGCUUAAAACCAUUUGAAAACAAGGUUCAAUAACCUUUCAAAUUACUUUUCACAUAAAAAGGUAUGGUGUAUUCUUUUAUACAAAGAUCAGACUAAAAUCGGUACUCAAAACUUGCAUUUUAAAUCAUUUAACAAUUGCAUUUAAACUAUGCAUAUCACACAAAAAUACAAGGCACAGAUUUUGAAUGUAAAACAGUAUAAAAGGCUUGUUUCUCGGUAUCUAAAACACUUUACGUAUAUAGCUAAUCUAUGGAUAUAUCCAAAAUAAUUUUCAAAACAACUUGUAUCCACAAUUUCCUACGAGUUCUACCAGCCCACGCUUUCCACAAUAACAGUGUAUAAAUCAUUAUAAAUCCAUUUAGAAAUCGCCUAUCGAGGCUAACAGCUCAUGCUUUCCAUAAUUGCAUUGAAUGAAAUCCAGCAAUGUUUAUAAAAUGUAUAACAUUAUAUAACUAUGAAAAUUUUUGAAAUAGGCACCCUCUACUCACCUUACGAUAGCGGGAUACUACAUCGCUAUUAGUUCGGAGGUGUAUUUAGCUAUUUUUACUUACCGAUCGCUAGUUAUUUUCUCCGGCAUGCCACCAUAGUAUACUAUAUUUACUUUUGCACUUCCUAGCAACAAUGCAAAUUCAAUAUCUUUAGUGUAAUCAUUUCUACUUUUCCUUUUCAUUCAGUCAUGAAUCUUUAUUCAACUAACUUAUAUCUUGACACAUUUUUACCAAAGUUGCCUUUACCCUUUACUUGCAUAAUUCUUUAAAUUAUAAUUACCUGCAACUUAUUUAUGACUCCAGCACCCAUAUUAACCUUUUCCAGCCAUUUUCAUUCAAAUUCGUCGUAUGUUUUCACACAUAACCCGCAUAUAUGGCAACAACAAUCAUUCUUACUUUCACUCAAUUAUUUUCAAGUUUACAUGCAUCAUUAUCUAUCUAACUUUCAAUACUUUGCUUCUCAAUCCUCCAUCCACAUGCUUCCUUUUUCAUUUCUUUCAAACAACAUGCCAUACAUACUUAACAAUUUUUCAACUACGCAACAAUAACUAUUUCUCAAGAUUUCUCAACUAUACUUAAAACAUCAUUUGUUUUUAUCUUCAUGGUUGCUUGACCAGUACAUGCACUCCACUGUUCCUUCAAAACAUUAAUCAUCAAGCUGCUAAAAUGAUUCAUACAUUAUUUCUCCAAAGAUUUAACCAACCGUGAGCUUAAAACAUAAAAAUCCUUACUUUUCCUUGCUUGAAUCACAAAACCAAGCUUUUUUCUUCCUUUCUCUCUUUUCCUUUCUCCUUUCUUUCUUUCCUUUCUCCUUUCUNCUUCUUCUUCUCCUUUCUUUCUUUCUUUUCUCCUUUCUUCCAACUGAUCUCAUCUAUUUUCUUUCCAAGAGUACCAUUUUCCUUGCAAAACAAAGCCCUUUUUUUCUUUUCAAAUGCAUGGUGAUAAGGUGAAAUGGAGUGGGAGCAUAAAGGAGAAGAAGAAAAUAUCUUUUGGGUAGAGAUAAGAACCAGCCAUGGGAUAAGGAUGAAGAGUCAAAGCUUCCUUUAGAAGCUUUGACCAAACUAAUGGCAAAAUUACCAUUUUACCUUUCAAAGUUUUCACCUUUUUUAAUUGUAUCCUCCCACAAUCUUUGAAUUCCAAUUUCUUUUUAUUUUUCUUCCUUAACACUUGUAUCAAUAAAAUAUCAAGUUUAUGCUUCAACGCGGUAUCACCGUAAUAUUUAAAUGUUUACUUACCCGCUCUAGUUCUGUUUAAUUAAGAUACGCAGGCACAAUUAUCGUUGUUUUUCUUCAAAACUCUUUCUUAUUUCUUCUUCCCUACUUAAAUUAGUCAUAUAAUCCUAUUUCAUGACUAAUUUCGAUAAUUAGUAAAAUAUUAAUAUUUUAAUAUCAUUUUAUUAUAAAAUUUUUCAUUGACCUUUUAGGGCUCCAAAACAUCUUACUUUGCCCCGAUUCACUUUCGAAUCACCUUUUAACUCACUAAUUAACCUUAGUUGGCCUUUGAUAAGCUUUAUUAGCCACCAUAUCAAAGUACGAGGUGUUACAUACAUUCUCCGUGGUUGAUGCAAUUACAAUUUUAUAAUAACUAGUCUGGCAAUAUACGAGAAGAUUGAAACGCAUCUAAUGAAUGUGGCUACAUCCUAUUUAUAUGGCUUAUUUGAUAUCGAUAUCUAUAAGAACUAUCUUGAAGGAUUUAAGUUGCCUAAAGUACAAAAUUUGAAUUCUCAUGAAAUUUAUUUGAUCAAAUUAAAUAAAUCUUUAUAUAGAUUAAAACAAUUCGGACGCAUGUAGUAGAAUCGCCUUAGUAAAUAUUUGUUGAAAAAAGGCUAUAAAAAUGAUCCUAUAUACCCAUGUGUUUUUAUAAAAAGAUUUGGAUCUGAAUUUGUGAUAAUUGCUGUUUAUGUUGAUGAUCUAAACAUUAUUGGAACUCCUGAAGAGUUAUCAAAAGCCAUGGAUUACUUAAAGAGAGAAUUUGGGAUGAAAGACUUUGGAAAAACAAAAUUUUAUUUGGGUCUUCAAAUUGAAUACUUGACAAAUGAAAUUUUUAUCUAUCAAUUUAAUUAUAUAGCAAAAGUGCUAAAACAAUUUUAUAUGGAUAAAACACAUCUAUUGAGUUCACCAAUAGUUAUAAGAUCACUAGAUGUGAAAAAAGACACUUUCUGACCUCGUGAGGAUAAUAAAGAACUUCUUUGUCCUAAAGUACCGUAUCUUAAUGUAAUUAAAGCACUAAUGUAUCUUGCUAGGAAUACACGACUUGAUAUAUCAUUUGUUGUAAAUUUAUUAGCAAGAUAUAGUUCUUCUUCAAUUUGAAGACAUUGGAAUGGAAUUAAACAUAUACUUCGAUAUCUCUGAGGAAAAAUGGACAUGGGCUUAUAUUACUUAAAUGUAUCAAAAUCAAACUUAAUUGGUUAUACAAAUGCAGAAUAUUCAUCUAAUCCACACAGCUUUAUCUCAGAUAGGUUACUUAUUCAUAUGUGGAGGUAUGACUAUUUCAUAGCGUUCUAUAAAACAAACUAUAUUUGUUACUUCUUCUAACCACGCAGAAAUUUUAACAAUUCAUGAGGCAAGUUGUGAAUGUGUUUGAUUAAGAACUACAACUCAACAUAUUUGAGGACCAUGUGGCUUGUCAAUCAAGAAAGAAGUUUCAAUAAUGUUAAUAAAGAUAAUACUACUUGCAUAGCACAGUUAAAGGAAGCAUACAUUAAAAGUGAUCAAACAAAACAUAUGUCUCCAAAAUUCUUCUUCACUCAUGAUCUCCAAGAAAAAGGUGAUAUUAGUGUUCAACAAAUUCAUUCAAGUGACAAUCUAACAGAUUUGUUUACUAAAGCUCUUCCUAUUGCAACAUUCGAAAAGAUAGUACAAAAUAUCGGAAUGCGUCAUUUUAAAGAUAUUAAAUAAUGCAACCAUUAAGGGCAGUAAAAUAUGCACUGUACUCUUUUCCUUCAUCAAGGUUUUUCCCACUAGGUUUUUUUUUAUAAGGUUUUUAAUGAGGCAGUGUUUCAAAAAUGUAUUUUUGAAAAGAAUUAUGUAUUCUUUUUCCUUCACUCAGAUUUUUUCCCAUGAGGUUUUUUCCUUGUAAAGUUUUAACAAGGCAUAUUCUUAAUACAAUGGACAUUCAAAGAGGAGUGUUAUAACAAAUAUGUAAAUAUCCAUUAUGUUAUGACCCAAGAAGUGCAAACCAAGUCAAACAACCCAACAGACAAUAUAUAAGAAAUGUAAUCUGAUUUAAAUUCUUAGAUAGAAUUAGAUUAGAAUUAUGAUUCAAGAGGUUGUUGGCCUAUAAAUAGACCAUUUACUUCAUUUGUAAAUAUACACUUGAAUAAGAUCUUCUUACUCCCUCUAAAUACUUUCUCUUAUAUUUCUCUUAUAGUUGUUCUCUUAAGAUUUAUUUCAUAACAAAUUUUUUUUCUAAUUAGCAAAGAUAUUAUAGAUGAAAAAUAGAGUCACCCAAGGAGUGGAUUCUAUAACAAAGAAAAUUUAGAACAACCAAACAAAAUAAGAAAAAUUGCCCAGGACAUAGAGGCAACAAAGCACAAAUCUAGAAUAAAAAGAAAUAAAACAAAGAAAACAAGAAAGGACCAUGAAAACAGAAAGCAGAAACAAAAUCCCAGCCACUAAACAACCAAAAUUGCAACAGAAAAGACCUGCAGGAAAGUAAGAGAAAUGUAGAAAAUUCAACAACAAGAACACAAGAAUUAGCCAAAAACCUGGAAAGGUUAGAAGUUCAAUCCACAGCCAAUUUAGCUAAUCAAUCCACGAGAUGAUUUGCCUCUCUCAAAGUGUGGAUGACAAACCAGCACCUACAUUUUUUCUUCAAGUUAUUAAUUUGGUUCAAAAUUCCCUUGAAGCGCCAAGGAAUUGAGGAAGGAUGAUUAACCCGUUUAACAGUAUUAGAUGAGUCUGAUUCAAUAAUGAAAGAAUUAAUAGCAAUACAGGAAGAAGCAACAAAAAGAUAGAAUGCUUUUUUAACGCCUAAGAUCUUAGCCAUAUUUGAGUCAUAGUUCCCCAGUGGUUUUGAAAAAAGAAUUUUAGCACAGCCAUUAUGAUCCUGUAAUGCACCCCCAAUACCAUAUGGCCCAUGACAGCCACGCGCUACUCCAUCAAUGUUAAAUUUCAAGGAACUGUUGGGUGGUUCAACCCACACGCAAUUAUCCUUGGACUUUUUCUUAGAAGAGAGAGCUUUAAUACCAAUUGAUUCUCUAACCAUGUGCAUCACCGAGGAAUUGCAUUGGUGCCAUUUAGCCUUGACCCACCAUCCAAUUCUUAACGAGAUAACAUAAAAAAUAUCAUCAGUGUCCCAUAGCUUCCUAUUGAAUAUCAAAUUGUUUCUAUGUAUCCAGAUCAUCCAUAAGAUGGCUAAAAAAGCCAUCCUCUAAACAAGGAGUCGCUCAUUAUCAAAGAAUAGUCCAUUCCAAAGGAAAAGAAAUGUCCCAUAUUACCAGGGGCAACCCAAGAAAUAUCCCAUGAAUUAAUCCACAAAGCCCAAAACUGCCAAACAUCAUGACAUUUAAUGAAAAGAUGUUCCACCGAUUCAACAUCUAAAUUGAAAGUAGGGCAAAGAGCAACAUUUCUAUCAAUCAAACCUCUUUGCAGAAGCUCACUUUUAACGGCAAUAUGCCUUUUUCAUAACCUGCCAACAAAAAACUUCACAUUUGGAAGUAGCAAGAUUAAACCAAAUAAGAUUCCAAAAAUUGUUACUACCAUCAGUUUCAUAAAAAAUCCCCAUGGCAGCUUUAUAGAAACUGCUGGAAGAAUAAAACCCUUUAACAUUCCCUUUCCAAAUAAUCUUAUCAAAUUCAUCUUUAUUAAGAAAAUAGUUGUUGCUACUAAAAAAAAAUAACUGCUGAUAGCAUCCAUAAGGGCUUGCCAUUGGUCCUUCUCAACAACAGAAUAGCAAAAUCUAGAAUUUUUUUUAUUCUUACAAAGAUUAAGAGAAAAAAAUCUAAAAUUCAAAAAUGCAUUCAUAUACUAUUUAAAAUUUUUCUCUCUUCUUCACCAAAAAGGAUUUUAAUGUCAAUUACACCGUUUUCUCUUUUUUCUUUUUUUGUGAGAAUUGAAGCAUCAUGGUCUGAUUGCUUACUAAAUCAAUAAAAAUCUAAUACUAUUGCUAAUAUACAAGUUUGAGAAUUGUUCUGUUUCUUUAUUGAUUUUUUUUAUUUUAACAUCUGAAAUCGUAUAUAAACUUAAAGCCUUCUGUUAGUUUAUUAAGUAAUUGAAGAUGGCAUGAAUACUCUUAAUGGUAAUUUUAACAAAAAUUAGAGCUUAUAUAAUUUAUUUUGUUAAAUAGUUUACCAAAUAGCUUUAACUUAAUUUUAAAAACUAUUAUUUUUCAUAAGAGCUUCAUAAUAGCUUUUACGUUAAAAGAAGCUAGACAAAACAAGCUAUUACUAUGAUUUUGUUUUAAAUCUUUACUUUUAUAUUUAUAAUAAUUUUUUGGGAUAAAAACUCGAAAGUAAGAAUCAAAGAAAAAAAAUCCAAUCUCAAACAAGACUCUUGCCUUUUUUUCUCAAUAGUCCAAUUAUUUUAGACCACUUAAUUUGCUCUCUUUGAUUUUUUGGGUCUGUACAUGGGUAAAAUCUAAAAGUCUCUGAAAACACUUCAAAAUGACACUUUGAUCCCUCCUGUUUUGAAAAUGAUGUUUUCUAUCAUUAACUGUUAACAUCGUUAAUUAACCGUGAAAAAAAAAUUAUACCUAAUGCUACAUAAAUAUUUUAUAACACAAAUGCCUUCUUAAAAAAAAUCUGCUCAUGUUCUCUUCUAAGACUUAAUAAAAUCCAUUUUAAAACUUAAUAAAAUUUUAGAACGAAAUUUGAGAAUGUAGUCGUUUGUCUUAUUUUGAUACUUAAUAAAAUUCAAUAUUUGAUAAAGAAGAAAAAAACUUAAAACAUUUGAUAUAUAAUAAUUAAGUAUAAUCUUUUUACGUCACCCUAAACCCUAUUCUCAAAAAACAAAUUUUAGGCAAAAAAUUUUCAACAAAAUUAGUAAGCAUGAGUAAGAAAUUAAUCUUUUGACCUGACACCAUCAAAUUUAAAAUAUCUAUCAUUAAACAAAAGAUUUACUUUUAAUACAUUUUUUUCAAUGAAAAGAAAAAUUUUCAAACUAUUGAAGUAAUAAAAAGUUUGAUGACUCACUUCAAAAAAAAAAGGUUUGAUGACAAUAAAUUUUACUUCAAAAAAGAAAUUUAUGGUUUUGCAAGGUAGAUACAGCUUUAAAUUUCCAAGCUUCCAAAUCAAAAUUUUUUAGCUUUUUUUUUAUUAAGCUUUUUGAGAGAAAAAUGAAUAGUUUUUUUUAAAAAAAAUAUGCUUAAAUUAAAAAAAUAAUAUAAACAGAUUUAUGUUUUAAAUUUUUAUGUAUUAGAUCUAAUUUUUUUAACUAUUAACUAUCAGUGUUAAGAGUUAAGAUUAAAAACAUCAUUUUGAAACAAGAAGGAUCAAAAUACAUUCUUUUGAAAUGUUUUUGAAAGAAUUUUUUGAAUUUUACCCUAUAAAUAUGACUGGACCCUCGAUGAAUCCAAUCAUGGUGACUCUUUUUCCAACUUGGACGUGAGUUGACAUCCAAAAUCUCUUGCCGGUCAUUUUACGAAAUCAAUUUAUGCGGAAAGGUCAAUUCAAGCACAUGCAUUUUCAACACAAAUAUAUUUGCCAGUCAAUCACUCCAAAGACCACAACAAACCGAAGAAGAAAAAUUCAUUUUUGGUCAUGUCUACCUUUUUCAAUUCAUACUAGUAUGACUCUUUAUCUGUUUCCAAUUAUAUCAGCUAUGCUUUUUUAACAUUUAUUUUUUCAUUUUUUUUCUUUUCUUCUUUUUAUCAUUAUUGAACUUAAAUUGAUAAUAUUUUAUUUGAUGUUUAAAAAAUUAAAUCGUUGAAAAUUUUAAUUUUCAAUGACUUUAAAUUUUUCAAUAGUUUAUCAAAAAAUAUUUUUUUCAUAUUGCUACUAUUGCUUAAAAAGUACAUUUGGCAAUGCAUUAAAAAGUUCAAAUUUUAAAUUUAUAAAUUAAAAAAUUGCAUGCAUAAUUUUAGUUUUAUAUAAGACAAUUACAUUGAAUCUAUGGUUUUAUUUGUCACGUUUAAUGAGUUAUUGUUUUUAAUCCAUAUAAUAUAAUUGUCUGAUGAAAGCAAUGAGGUCCCUUGAUCCUCCUGUGCCGUUCAGUUCAGCAAUGUCGACCGUUCCAACAUCACUGUCUUGCUGCUGUGGUCGCUCUGGCCCGCCGUUAGUCUAAUCUCCUGACGAGUGAGUUGACAUCCAAAGCAUUUCGGCCGUCCGUCCAUUUCUGGAAAUCAAUUUAUGGUAGAAGGUCAAUUCAGGCAAAUGCAUUUCCACUCCAAAUAUAUUUGCGGGUCAAUCCCUCCACAGCCACACCAAUUUAUACGUCAGAAAAAAAAAAUUCAACAAAAAUUCAUUUUUGGUCAAUUCAUACCAAUUAUACUUUUUUAUUAUUUAUUUUUUCUAUUUUCUUUGUCUUUUCUUGCUUUUAUCAUUUUUUAACUUAAAUUGAUAAUAUUUUGUUUGAUGUUUCAAUUCCAAAAUUAUCUUUUGCCUCUCCCUUCUCUUUCUUUCUUUUGCCCUUUUCUUUCAUCUUCAUUGUAUAUGUUAUUUGAAUUCAUGCCUAACAUCGUUAUAAUUUUUAUUAUAGUGAUUUAUUUAUUUUCUAUAAUUCCUUUUGCUUUCCUUCUUUUUAUUAUUCUUUAUUAAAUUUAUAAUUUUCUAUUGAUUUAAAUUAAUUUAAUAACAAAAUAUACUUUUACCUCAACAAUUAUAUUUUUCUCUCCUUUUUAUUAUUGCCUAUAUAAAUUUAUGAUUAUUAAUGUAUUAAUUUAAAUUAAUUCAAUAAUAAAAAUAUUUUUACCUCAAUAAUGAUAAUGAGACGUAUAAAAUACAUCCAAAAUCAACCCAACUAAAAUAACUCAACACUUUCUUCUAAAAAAAAAACACUCAACAACUUUAAAUUUUUUUAACCCAACCAGAAAGCCCCAAACAUAUUAAAUCCAAAUUUAAAAAAAGUGUAGAAACCCACCCAAACAAAACCCAAUACACUGAAUUUAAAAACCCAGACCCAAAAAACCAAGACCAACCCAAUUUCCUUCCACCACCCUCCGAACAAACUGUUGAAGGUCAAUACCAAAUCCCUCACAUGGCAGUCCCUAAAUCCCCUGCACUACAACAAAAUUUUCGGCCACUGAGCAUAAAACUUCUGGAGCUACUCUACUAGCUAUCAAUUUCUCUUCACAAUCUCAAACAGAAAUUUGAUUAAUAAGUGAAUGAUUUUUUGGUUUAAGCUCACUUAUUUAGAAUCGAAUGAGAAUCAUCUUUACCUUAUCGAAAUUCUAAUAGCUAUUUGUUUAGAAUGUGAAGCUAUCAGAGCUUUAAUGCUAUAUUGCAGUCCUUCCAAUAGUAGUUACUAUUCUAGGAAUCAUUUUUUAGGACGCAUCUUGGUAUAGACAAAUCUCCCCAUACCGAUGUUGCUCUUGUUGGUACCCAUUCCAAGCCAUCAAACCAGAAAUCAUGAGCUAAAUUUUGUAAGAAUUAUCACUAAAAACGUCCCAACUUUUCUGAUUGCCCUACGAUGUCAUAAGGUUGGGCAUAUUAUUGAGAAUUGUCACCUGUGUUCACCUAAAUCAAAAAGUGAUACCUUUAAAGGGAGAUUUCUUAAUAUCUAGAUCUUUAUCCAUUGUCACUCAUACAUUUAAGGGCAUCGAUAUGGAGACUUUAUUAAAAUAAAUUAUUUUUUUUGAGCUGCUUUUUUUCAUACUACUUUCUCUUUUACUCUAGGUGAUUUAUUUUCGCUCCUUGAUUAUACUUGUUGUAAUCAUAUAACUCUUAAUUCUUCUAUCUUACCCACUAUAAUAUCCUCUUUAUCUUUCAUUUCUAUCUAUAUUAUCAAUGAUAUAAAAAUGAAUAUCACUCACAUUAUACAUCUAUUACAUACUUAAAAAAGACGUUUCAAAAGAACUUUCUCAUUUUACCAUGUGUUAAUUUAAAAAAAAAAUCACAUUUUUAUGUUGGGAUUUUUAAAUUUCUACCAAAAUUUGCAAAUUAAAAAACCACGACCCCAUGAUGAGUCAAACUAAAUCAUUUUUUGCCCAUAAAGGAGUUUACAAAAAUUUAAAAAAAAUAGUUUACCUCAGCAUGAUGGAGCCACAUUCUAAUUUUUCUUAAUCUUAAUCUUCCAUAUACCUAUUGUGUACUUUAGCAUUAAAUCUUAUUUCUAUGUGUCACAACCCGGAACUCCCAUCUGGCCCGUGACAACCGCCGCGACGUCUCGAUAGACACUCAUUAUCCCGAAUGCCGAUCGAAACCUCGCAAGACUUAGCAUUAGCUUCCGCAUCUUCCCGGUGAGCGACAGUUAUUUAAUCUCGCAUUUCAAGAAAUCAUAAGUCGUUUUCAAAUCAAAACAGUAAAAUAUUAUUUUCUGACUCACAGGAGCAUUUUCAUUAUUUUUCUUCAAAAAUAUCGAAACCCGUCAAAAUCAUGGUGUAAAAGAUAAAUAUGUUCAUACAUACUUUAAAUCAGAUAACUGAAGUAUGAAAUUAUUUUUACAGUGACACGUGGGCUCCCAACUGACCAAUAAGUUGUAGAGCUACGAACCCUUACUUUCUAGAAUGCAAGUCCAAGAUUAAUUAUCGUCUUAAUCAACUAUCAACAAAUUGUCCUGAGCCUGAAAAAUGGAUAGGAAGAGGGGUGAGAUUAUGAUUAUAUAAUCCCAGUGAGUAAACAAUUACCAUCAAAAACAUCUAAAGCCGAGUAGAUGGAGACAAUAUAAAAAUGUUAUAUCUCAAUAAUGUUCAUAAUGCAAAAAUCGUUUCAAUCUAUACCAAACAAUUUCUUUUCAUCAAAAUUUCCCUGGCUUAUGAGUUUCUUAAACUUGGCCCCUGCCAAAAUCAUUCUCGCGGGUACCUUCGUCAAGGUAUCUCACUGAGACCGCCAAGGCUGUUAAAUGUCUCAUACCCAUAAACAUAUUUUCGCAUCUGACAGACAGCCGUUCCUUGGCGUUAGCUGAGUCUCACUCUCACGUGGUGGUCCGAACAUGAGGUGCACUCAAAUCUUACCUCAGGAGAUACUUCAUCCAACAUCUCCCCCCGGAGGUAGUUAUAUAAUUGGGUUACCGUACCCCUUUCAUAAGCAGUCUACGGAAACCCCCACCAUUGCAGUGACCGUUUAAUAUACCAUCAGAUCCAUAAAAUUUCCAGUAGCAUAAUAUGGCGAAUAAAAUUUAAUCCAGUCUACCGAGACCAACCCCAAAAUUGUUCAUAUAUUUCAUGUCAAUCCCAAAAAUUUAGCCAUCAUGCUACCAUAGUGUCAUAAGCCACAAUUUCAAUAACAUAUAAAAUCAUAAAUUUCAACACAGUCUCCAUAUACUCAAUUUUCCCAAAACAAUAUUAGAUUUCAAAACCAGUAAAAAUCUCAUUUUUAUUUAAAAAAACAUUUUAAUUGGAAAACAUAAUAUUUUAUAAUUUAAACUCACCAUUUAAUAAAAGCAUCAAACAAGUAUAAUUACUCUGGAUAUUUAAGACGAUAAAAUGCCCACUCACAGUAUUAGGAGUAGAAAUACUCAUAUUUUCAGUCCACGGGUACAGUCCUUUACCCGUAUUCAAUGGCUCACCACCUAGCCAUAAUCCAUGACACAUAUUUCAAAUAAAUUGUGUCUAACAGUCAUAAGCUAUUUCAGGCUCGAUAUAUAUGCAUGAUAUGAAAUGAAAAAUGCAUGGGUAGCCAUCUAGACCCGGUAUUGACCUAAGUCGAUUUUUCAUCUGAUAAAUUGGCCAAUGCGUCCAAUUUCACUCCAACUUGCUCCAUUUUUUUUUCAAUCCCUCAACUCACCAAACACAACUAAUUAACACACAAUUAAACAAAAUUUAUCUUCACUUUUCUUCUUGGAACUUUCAGCUAACAAUGGUACACUAACUCCGUGAUUUUUUCUACUUAAUUUUCUCUCCAUAAUUCAUUAAUUCCUACACCAAAAACUAUUAUUUCUUAAUCAAAUCACCUAGAAUAACAUCCCAUUCUUCCUCAUUAUUCACUUAGAGAAUUCNUGUUCACCUAAAUAAAAAAAAUGAUACCUUUAAACUCAAGGGAGAUUUCUCAAUAUUUAGAUCUUUAUCCAUUGCCACUCCUGCAUUUAAGGACACUGAUAUCGAGACUUUAUUAAUAUAAAUUAUCUUUUCGAGUUCUUCUUUUCAUACUACCUUCUCUUUUACUCUAGAUGAUUCAUUUUCGCUCCUUGAUUAUACUUGUUGUAAUCAUAUGACUCUUAAUCUUUCUAUCUUAUCCACUAUAAUAUCCUUUUUAUCUAUACUGUCAACGAUACAAAAAUGAACAUCACUCACAUUAUACAUCCAUUACAUACUUAAAAAAAAAAGCUUUAAAAAGACGACUUCAUUUGGCCAUGUGCUAAUCUAAAAAAAAUCACGUUUUUAAAUUGCUAUCAUAAUUUGCAAAGAAAAAAAUCAUGACCCAUGAUAGGUCAAAUUAAAAUAUUUUUUGCUCAUAAACGCGUUUACUAAAAUCUAAAAAAAAAACAGUUUACCUCAACAUGAUGGAGCCACAUUCUAAUUUUUCUUAAUCUUAAUCUUCCAUAUACCUAUUGUGUACUUUAGCAUUAAAUCUUAUUUCUAUGAGUCAAUUAUACGAUUGAGGCUUCACUAUUCUCUUAUCUUUCUCCUGGCUGUUAGGUACAAGACCACAAAUGGGGACAAUUCUUGAGACACCCGCAAGGUGGAAAGAUUGUUUGAAACAUGUGUCCGUUUCCACUAUAUUUAGUUCUUCUUCGUAUCAAUGGCAUCUUUUUCUAUGUCAGGCUUUAGCAAGUAAUUAUUACAUCCUCUAUUUUAUCGUGCGUUGUUAGGACAACCAGCUUUUUCAUUUAAUAAUAGCUGUUUCUGAUUUUCGUUUUGAGAUUGUUGAUUUUGAUAUUUGGGGACGUUUUCCUAUUUCAACUGUAAGACAUUUGUGUAAUUUUAUUCCCAGCAAACCAAUUUUCUUCGGAAGUUUCCUAAGAAAGUAAGUGGCUUUAAGCAUCAACUUCUCAAGACUUGAGAGUCUUUAAAAGCAAUGGUUUUGAUAAGACAUGUGAGUGAUUGAUAUUAAGGAUCUUCAAAUUUGGAAUUUGAAAUUAAAUAACAUAAAAAUAUUUUUAUUAAAUAAAAAUGUGAAAUAAAUCACAUCUUUAAAAUACUUAAUUGUUAUAUGAUUGAUAAAAUCAGAUAUGGAUUUUUAAAUAAAAAGCAUACUGAUCAAUUUCUUGCCAAAAUAAUAUCAACUAUUAAUUUCAUCACGUUAUACAAUAUAAAUAUAUAAUUAAUAUUAAUUAAUCAUGAUAACUUAAAUUUUAGUAUAUUUUAUUUUUACAUGAUAAAAUAUAAUAUGCUUAUAUAUUGUUAUUUAAAUAGUUUAUAAUAAUGUUAUUCAAAAUUAAUUUGAUAUUUUUAUUUUUAUAAUUUCAAAAAAGAAAGAAAUGAAAAUAGCCAAUGUAUCACGUAAUAUCUAAUUGAAUAAAAUAAAAUAAGAUUAAUAAUACAUUUGAAAUAUUUACUUCAUAUGUAGUUUCAUUAUCUUAUAAGAAGUAAUAGGAUGCAUGAAACUAUGUUUAUACUUAAUUUCAUCCUUCUUUUAUUAAAUAUAAGUUUUAGAGAUAAGGAUAUAUAUAUAUAAGGUUAGCCAGCUUUGGUUAAUUUUUUUAUAAUUAGGGGAGAAGAGAUUUGAACCUUACUCUUUAGUUAGUUCCAGUUAUUUAAGUAUGACUAAUGAGUCAUUUACAAAAGGGUGAUAAACUAAAACUAUUUAGAAUUUGUUACAAUUUUUAUUGAAUAAUUAACUAUAUUAAUUGAUAUAACAAAUAUACAAAAAGGUUAAACUAAUUCUUAUCAAUUUCACCUAUCAGUAUUUCUUUCUUUCUUUUUCUUAUCAUCUCAUCAGUUUCAGGUCAAUUUGUUUGGUUUGGACAUGUAGAGUCCGUUUGAUAACAGAAAAAUGACUUAAUGGAAGAAAAAUUUUUUUGUGUAAAAUAUUUAAUAGGAAAAUUUAAUAUUUUGUAUUGUUAGAUAAACUGUCGAAAAUAUUUUUCGUUAUUUAGAUCAUUUUAUGAAAAAUAUUUUUCAUCAUGGUGGAGUUAUUUAGAUUUUAAAAUAAUAAAUAGAAGUUUAUUACAAAACAAUAUUGAUAUUUGAUUUUCACUUAUUUGGGAUCAAAAUUAAGAAUGGAAAUGAAAAUAGACAAAAUCAAUAAUGAUAUUUCUCAAAGCAUUUAACUACAUAUCUGUAAUAAAAAUAAUCUCUAAUUUUCAAAAAAAUUUCCAUCUUAUCACUUUUUUAUCACAACUAUAAAAAUAUAAAUGUUCAUCAAUUGUAUAAGAUAUCCAAAACCUAUACUUAUAAAUAUGUAUUCAUUAAAUGAAGAUCAUUGAAAUAUUUUUUAUUAUAAUUAUUAGUAAGAUUUAAACGUAUUAUAAAUGUGUAUUCAUCAAAUGAUGAUCAUUGAAAUAUUUUUUAUUAUAAUUAUUAGUAAGAUUUAUUCCAUUUAUAAAUAAAAAAUUUAAUUAUAGGUUUCAUUAAAAAAUAUUUUUUAAAUUUUAAUAGCAUUGUAUAAUUUAAAUAUUAAUAUUUUAAAUCAAUUUUUUAAAAUUAAAUAUUUUUAUUUUUAUUUUUUUAAUAUUUUAAGUUAAAUAUUAAUAUUCAUCACACUUAUACUUAUAAACUUAGUAUAAAAGUGUUUUGGUUGUUCUCUGAAAAAUGUUUUACGCCCUUGAAAGGCGUAAGACAUUUUUCAUGAUUAACCCUGUUAACUUGUAAAAUGUUUUACAUUUGGAAUUAAUUUUUCGUUUUUCAAACAAAUAUAAGUCCUAAAAACGUUUUUCAAAAAAGAUUUUACUACAAACAAAACAGACCUGUAAUAUCAAACUCGCCAACGAAAGAGAAAUGUAAAAACUCUUGAGAAGUUCAAAGGGAAAGUGAACAUUUUGUUUUGCCUAAUAUGAUUAUCAAAAAUAUAUUUGAAAGACAAAGAAAGCCAAACACAUAAUAAUAAUGUGCAUUUUAUAAGGUGUCCUUUCAAGAUUUCUCAUCAUAUAAGUUAAAAGAGCAUCAAUUUUUUUUCUUUUUUUGAAUUAAAAGAGAAUUACCUAUUUAUACAUGGUAGUCAAAUUAGUAGUAUUAUUAUUCAGAUUCUUAUUAAAGCUUGUCCUUUUCUUCAACUACAUUGAAAGCAAUGUGUCCAUUAAUAAUUCAACUACAUUGGAAGCAAUGUGUCCUUUUCUUAUUAAUAAUUCAACUACAUUGAAAGCAAUGUGUCUUUUUCUGAUUAAUACGUCUUAUUAUCUCAGUACCAACCAAUCACCCGUGCAGCUACUAAACAAUCCUAAUUCUAAUGAGCGGAACAUGGCCGAGAGAAAUCUAAGUCAAUACAUUAGCUCACCACAAAUUCAUCAAAACAAGCAGACUCCUCCAACCCACAAUUCAUUUCAUUUUUCUUUGUUCAUCAAUCAAACAUUUGAUCACUAAAUCAUGGGAAAUUUGUGCUCAAUCUCAAUCUCAACGGAGGAUACAAUCUCUCGUUGUUGGACAUGCAAGUUACACAUGUAAGCUUGAAGAUAACCUCAACGCUCUCAGUGUGGAAUUGGCUAAACUGAAUGCGCGAAGGGAUGACAUGAAGCGGAAGCUAGAUAUAUAACUCUUAUCCGCUAUCUUAUCAUAUAACUCUUAAUCCUUCUAUCUUAUCCGCUAUAAUAUCCUCUUUAUCUUUCUUUUCUAUCCAUACUAUCAUUGAUACAAAAAUAAAUAUUACUCACAUUAUACAUCUAUUACAUACUUAAAAGAAAACUCUAAAAAGACUUUCUCAUUUUGCCACGUGCUAACUUAAAAAAAAUCACAUUUUUAAGUUGGGACUUUUAGAUUUCUAUCAAAAUUUGCAAAGGAAAAAACUACAGCCCAUAAGUGAGUAAGAUUAAAAUAUCUUUUGUCCAUGAGCGAGUUUACUAAAAUUUAAAAGAAAAUAAUUUACCCCAACAUGAUGGAGGCCACAUUCUAGUUUUUCUUAAUCUUAAUCUUCCAUAUACCUAGUGUGUACUUUAGCAUUAAAUCUUAUUUCUAUGAGUCAAUUAUAUGAUUGAGGUUUCACUAUACUCUUGUCUUCAUCUGGUUGUUAGGUACAAGACCACCAACGGGGAAAAUUCUUGGGACACCCGCAAGGUGGAAAGAUUGUUUGAGCUUGUCUUCUUCCACCUCCAUAUGCAAUAUGUGUCCGUGGCCUCUAUAUUUAGCUCUUCUUUGUAUCAGUGGUAUCUUUUUCUAUGCCAUGCUUUAGCAAGUAAUUAUUAUAUCCUUUAUUUUAUCGUGGGUUGUUAGGACAACCAGCUUUUACAUUUAAUAAUAGUACUUCUAUGUCUGAUUUUCGUUUUGAGAUUGUUCAUUUUGACAUUUGGAGACCUUUCCCUAUUUCACCUGUAAGACAUUCGUGUAAUUUUACUCCCAGCAAACCAAUUUUCUUUGGAAGUUUUCUAUGGCUUUUCUCGAUCUUUGAGGCUUAAGAAAGAAAGUGUCUUUAGCUCACCGAUUGAUUGAUCAACCUUAAAUCAAUCUUAAAGCAUCAACUUCUCAAGACUUGGGAGUCCUGUAAAGAAAUGGUUUUGAUAAGGCAUGUGAGUGAUUGAGAUUAAGGAUCUUCAAAUUUGAAAUUUGUAUGAAAGGGAAAAAAACUGUUUUAAUGUGUUAUUGCUUCAGAAAAAAAGGAAAAAGAAAUUAGGAAGGGGAAGGAAAAAGGAAGUUUCCACGAAAGGAGAGGAGGAAUAAAGGGGGAGACCAGAAAGGGAGGAGAAGAGAGAAGGGGCAAUUCGAUGGGCGCUGGCAGAGGCCGCAUUGGCAUGGCCCUACUCACCGGCCUACGUAAGGGUGUUGAUUUGGCUGUUGCUAGCCAAUCGGCCAAGGAGUAGAGGAAAAAAAUAAAAUAACAUAAAAAUAUUUUUAUUAAAUAAAAAUAUGGCAUAAAAUAUAGUUAAUUAAAAUAAAUAUAUAACUAAAUCACAUAUUUAAAAUACUUAAUUGUUAUAUGAUUGAGAAAAUCAGGUAUGGACUUUUAAAUAAAAAGCAUACUGAUCAACUUAAUUUCUUGCCAAAAUAAUAUCAACCAUUAAUUUCAUAACGGUAAACAAUAUAAAUAUAUAAUUAUUAUUAAUUAAUCAAGAUAACUUCAAUUUUAGUAUAUUUUAUUUUUAUAUGAUAAAAUAUAAUAUGCUUAUAUAUGUUUAUUUAAAUAGUUUAUAAUAAUUUUAUUCAAAACUAAUUUGAUAUUGUUAUUUUUAUAAUUUCAAAAAAGAAAGAAAUGAAAAUAGCAAAUGUAUCUGUUCCCCAAAAAAAAAAGAAAAUAGCAAAUGUAUAACGUAAUAUCUGAUUGAAUAAAAUAAAAUAAGAUUAAAUAAUAAAUUUGAAAUAUUUACUUUAUAUGUAGUUUCAUUAUCUUAUAAGAAGUGAUGGGAUGCAUGAAAACUAUGUUUAUACUUAAUUUCAUCCUUCUUUUAUUAAAUAUAAGUUUUAGAGAUAAGGAUAUAUAUAUAUAUAUAUGGUUAGUCAGUUCCAGUUAUUUAACUAUGACUAAUGAGUCAUUUACAAAAGGGUGAUAAACUAAAACUAUUUAGAAUUUGUUACAAUUUUUAUUGCAUAAUUAACUAUAUUAAUUGAUAUAACAAAUAUACAAAAAGGUUACACUAAUUCUUAUCAAUUUCACCUAUCAAUAUUUCUUUCUUUCUUUGUCUUACCGUCUCAUCACUUUCAGGUCAAUUUGUUUUGUUUGGAUAUGUAAAGUCUGUUUGGUAAUCGAAAAAUGACUUAUUGGAGGAAAAUUUUUUCUGUGUAAAAUAUUUUAUAGGAAAAUUUAAUGUUUUUUGUUGUUUGGAUAAAUUGUAGAAAACAUUUUUUAUUGUUUGGAUCAUGUUAUGAAAAAUAUUUUUAUCAUGAUGGAGUUAUUUAGGUAUUAAAAUAAUAAAUAGGAGUUGAUUACAAAACAAUAUUGAUAUUUGAUUUUCACUUAUUUGGGAUCAAAAUUAAGAAUAGAAAUGAAAAUAAAAAUGGACAAAAUCAAUAAUGAAAAUAAUUUUCCAUCUUAUCACUUUUUACCUUAACACUAUAAAAAUAUUAAGAUUUAUCAAUUAUGUAAGACAUCUAAAACCUACUUAUGUGUAUAUUUUCUAAAAAUAUCAAUAUUUAUCAAUCGUGUAAAAUAUUCAAAACCUAUACUUAUAAAUAUGUAUUCAUUAAAUGACUAUCAUUGAAAUAUUUUUUUAUUAUAAUUAUUAGUAAGAUGUAAACUUAUUAUAAAUGUGUAUUCAUCAAAUGAUGAUCAUUGAAAUAUUUUUUAUUAUAAUUAUUAGUAAGAUUUAUUCCAUUUAUAAAUAAAAAAUUUAAUUAUAGGUUUCAUUAAAAAAUAUUUUUUAAAUUUUAAUAGCAUUGUAUAAUUUAAAUAUUAAUAUUUUAAAUCAAUUUUUUAAAAUUAAAUAUUUUUAUUUUUAUUUUUUUAAUAUUUUAAGUUAAAUAUUAAUAUUCAUCACACUUAUACUUAUAAACUUAGUAUAAAAGUGUUUUGGUUGUUCUCUGAAAAAUGUUUUACGCCCUUGAAAGGCGUAAGACAUUUUUCAUGAUUAACCCUGUUAACUUGUAAAAUGUUUUACAUUUGGAAUUAAUUUUNGUAAGAUUUAAACUUAUUAUAAAUGUGUAUUCAUCAAAUGAUGAUCAUUGAAAUAUUUUUUAUUAUAAUUAUUAGUAAGAUUUAUUCAUUUAUAAAUAAAAAAUUUAAUUAUAUUGAAUGGUUUCAUUAAAAAAUAUUUUUUAAAUUUUAAUAGUAUUGUAUAAUAUCAAUGGACAAAUUGCUGCCAGGCACAAAUACUGAUUUAAUACGUGUGAUCAAAGAUGUUUUGCAAAAAGAGUGGGAGGUCCAUUUUAUGCAUAUCUACGGUGAAGGGAAUAUGGUAGCAGAUUACUUGGCUAAUUAUGGUUUUGUUUUAGAAGAAUCUUAUGUUGUACUUGAACAAGCUCCCACUAGAGCAAGAAAACUCUUAAUGUAUGAUAUGUUAGGGGUCUGUCUUUCACGAAUGAUCCCAGUUCAAUAAAAGAACUUGUUUUAAAAAAAAUAAAUAUUAAUUUUUUAAAUUAAUUUUUUAAAAUUAAAUAUUUUUAUUUUAUUUUUUAAUAUUUUAAGUUAAAUGUUAAUAUUCAUCAAAUUUAUACUAAUAAACCUAGUAUAAAAGUGUUUUUGUUGUUCUCUGAAAAAUAUCUUACGUCCUUGAAAAGCAUAAGAUUUUUUUCAUGAUUAACCCUAUUAACUUGUAAAAUGUUUUAUAUCUGAAAUUAAAUUUUCGUCUUCCAAACAAAUAUAAAUCCUGAAAAUGUUUUUUAAAAAAUAUUUUACUACAAACAAAACAGACCUGUAACAUCAAACUCGCUGAUGAAAGGAAAAUGUAAAAACUCUUGAGAAGUUCAAAGGGGAAGUGAACAUUUUGUUUUGCCUGAUAUGAUUAUCAAAAAUAUAUUUCAAGGAAAAAGAAAAGCCAAACAUAUAAUAAUAUUGUGCAUGCUAUAAGGUGUCCUUUCUUUCAAGAUUUUUCAUCAUAGUAGUUAAAAGAGCAUCAAUUUCUUUUUCUUUUUUGAAUUAAAAAAGAAUUACCUAUUUACAUAAAGCAGUCAAAUUAGUAGUAUUAUUAUUCAGAUUCUUAUUAAAAGCUUGUCCUUUUCUUCAACUACACUGAGAGCAAUGUGCUCAUUAAUAAUUCAACCUAUAUUAUCUUAGUACCAACCAAUCACCGGUGCAGCUACUAAACAGUCUUAAUUCUAAUGGUCGAAAAAUGGCCGACAAAAGUCUUAAGUCAAUACAUCAUCGCAAAUGUGUUGCGUCACCUUAUGAACACCACAAAUUCAUCAAAACAAGCAGUCAGUCUCCUCAAACCCACAAUUCAUUUCAUUCUUCUUUGUUCAUCAAUCAAAUAUUUGAUCACUAAAUCAUGGGAAAUUUGUGCUCAAUCUCAAUCACAAUAGAGGAUAUAGUUCAUUGCUGGGAUUGCAUUGUUGGACAAGCAAGUUACACAUGUAAGCUUGAAGAUAAUCUCAAAGCUCUCGGUGCGGAAUUGGCUAAAUUGAAUGCACGAAGGAAUGACGUGAAGCGAAAGGUAGAUCUUGCUGAACAACAAUGUAUGGAGCUGCGGAGCGAAGUUCAACUCUGGCUUUCAGAGGUGCAGACUGCGACAGCGGAAGCUGAGGCGUUGAUUGAAAAUGGUCCUCAAGAAAUUCAAAAGUUAUGUUUUGCUGGCUGUUUUUCCAAGAAUUGUAAGUCUAGUUACAAUUUUGGUAAACAAGUGACUAGAAAUCAUGCAGAAAUAGAUGAUCUAUGGAAACGAGGAGGUUUUGAAACAGUUGCUGAGAAUGAACUUGCACCCAGAGUAGAUGUAAGACCUACUGAACCCACGGUGGGUUUGGAACCAACAUUGGAUAAGGUAUGGCGCUUACUUGAAGAAAACAACGUGGGCAUUAUUGGGUUACAUGGCUCGGGAGGAGUUGGUAAAACAACACUCUUGACCCAAAUUAACAACAAGUUAAGCAACAACCUCAUCGGUUAUGAUGUUGUAAUUUGGGUGGUGGUGUCUAAAGAUCACACUAUCGAAAAGGUUCAAGAAAAAAUUGGUGAAAAGCUUGGCCUUUCAAAUGAGUUAUGGAAGACUGAAAGUUGUGAUAAGAAAGCUACAGAUAUUUUCAGAAAAUUGAGCAAAAAAAAGUUUGUUCUAUUGUUGGAUGAUGUGUGGGAGCGAGUUGAUUUGACGAAAGUUGGAAUACCUGCACCGAAUCAGGGUAAUAGUUUUAAAUUAAUUUUCACAACUCGCUUUUUAGAGGUAUGUGGAGAAAUGGGAGCUCACGAGAAAAUCAAAGUAGAGUGUUUAAGCAAAGAUGAAGCUUGGAAAUUGUUUGAAAAGAAGGUUGGAGAAAAAACCCUUGAUAGCCAUCCAGAUAUUCGAGGGUUAGCUAAACAAGUAGCUGCAAAGUGUGGAGGACUGCCUCUUGCACUGAUUACAAUUGGUCGAGCCAUGGCUUGCAAAACGAUACCCCACGAUUGGAAAUAUGCAAUUGAGGUGUUGAAAGAAUCUCCGCAUAAAUUAGCAAAAAUGGAUCAACAGGUGUAUUCUCUUUUAAAAUUUACUUAUGAUAGCUUGCCUAAUGACUUGAUGAGAUCUUGCCUUUUGUAUUGUAGUUUGUAUCCUGAAGAUUAUAAAAUUGGUGUAAUUUGGCUAAUAGAUUAUUGGUUUUGUGAGGGAUUUUUGGAUGAAUUUGACAACAUAAGUAGAGCUCGAAUGCAAGGGUAUAGCAUUAUCAAUUUUCUUUGUAAUGCUUGUUUAUUAGAAAGAUGUGAAGAUGCAAUAUUUGUAAAGAUGCAUGAUGAGAUCCGUGACAUGGCUUUGUGGAUAGCACGUGAGUGUGAAGCACCUGAGAAGAAAUUUUUGGUACGAGGAAGGGUAAAAUUAAAUACGACAUAUGAUAUUGAAAAUUGGAAAGGUGUAAGAAUGUCAUUGUCGUGCAGUGGAAUUGAAUAUCUAAGAGGAACACCUAGAUGCCUUAAUCUUCAAACCUUGUUUCUUAAUCAAAACAAUUUGAUGAUGAUUAGUGAUGGUUUGUUCCAAUUUAUGCGCAAUCUGAGAGUUCUAAGCUUGUAUGCAAACUUUUCUCUCUGUGAGUUGCCAAAGGGAAUUUCAAACCUGGUUUCACUGGAGUGCCUCAAUCUAUCACAUACAGGAAUAAUGGAGUUGCCAAUUGAGUUGAAUAGGUUGUCAAAACUGAAAGUUCUGAAUUUGCAUGAGACAUUGCAGCUCCAAAAAAUCCCACGACAAUUGAUAUGUAAAUUUUCAGCGUUGCAAGUAUUCGGAAUGUCUGUAUUAUUUGAUAUUUCUGAAGAUCUAGUGGAUGAAGAUAAUGUCCUAAAUGGUGAUCAUGAAGGUCUGAUAGAGGAAUUGAAAUGCUUGCAACAUUUAAAUGAGCUGAAUAUAGAAAUAAGAAGCGUUGUCGCUCUAGAAAGCCUUUUGAGCUGCCACAACUUACGAAGAUGCACUGAACGACUAUUCCUCCGAGAUUUGAGCAAGAGAAAGGUGUUGGAUAUUUUAUCUUUGACACAUAUGGAGCAUUUAGAGAGCCUAAUAAUUAGAUUUUGCGAAAGCAUGGAAGAGAUUGUAAUAAGGAAGAUAGAGAAGGCUCCUUACUUUCACACACUGAAAAGAGUUUCCCUCUUGCAGUUGCAACAACUUGAGAGACAUCACGUGGCUUAUUCUUGCUCCAAAAUUAACGCACCUUUAUGUAGUGUUUUGCUCAAGAAUGGAAGAAAUAAUAAGUGAUAAAGUCACAGAUGUGGUUGGAAUUCCGAACCCAAGUCCAUUUGCGAAUCUAGAAGAGCUUGAUUUACGAGAUCUACAGGAAUUGAAGAGCAUAUACAGGGAUGCCUUGUCCUUCCCAUGUUUAAGAAAAAUCAAAGUAUUCAAUUGCUCAAAACUAGAGAACCUUCCACUCAACUUGGACAGUAGGAAUCAAAUGAGCAUUGAAGGAUAUCAAGAGUGGUGGGAAAAGAUUCAAUGGAAGGAUGAAGCCACUCGAAAAUGCUUUUUGCCCUCUUUCAAAUGUGCAGAGUGGUGGAAAGAGGUAGAGUUCCAGAAGGAAUAUGGUCGAUAUCUUAAUUGUUUCUUUUGGUAAAGACUGCAAAAGAAAGGUGUGUGACAUUUCAGAAGUCAUUUUUCUCUUAUUUUUGUCUUUUAUAUUAUCAUCGUCUUCAACGGUUUGAUAGCUUGCUAACCGUUUGAUAUAAUAAGGUCUCUAAAACCCAAUCCUAGUGCUUCUACUUUAUUUUUUCUUUAUGGUUAAUUUUAAAAGUUUAAACUAUCUCCACACUGUUCAUAAUUUUCUGCACAUCUGCAGGUUUUCUUAUUCUUUGGGCAGAGACUGGUGCAUGGACAAGUUAAUUAGUUUGACAAUAGCUACAUGGGAGGAUUUAGUGUCCAGGACACUGACUCAAUGGUCUAAUAAAUUUCUGGAGUUAUGAUCUUAAGGAGCAUAAAACAAUGAAGAACUCAGGUGUAAUAUACCACAAAGUAUUGUUGCUAUUUUUCUUCUCUUGUCAAGUUUAGUUUGUCUUGGACCUCUGAGAUUGUAAUUUGUAUGUUCUGUUUUGUGUGGUUGUCUUGUUUUCAUCAUAUCCCGUACUUGAUUUGUGGCAAAAUUUCUAUUUGUAUCUGUCAUUUGAUAGUUCUCAACUAAAAUGAAACAAGAUUAGACCUGUUUUAUUGUACAUUGCUGCUUGCUGCAUUUUGGUUCUUGACUUCUUGUCGUGAGGUUUCUCAUCUAAACCAUGUUGCUUAAAAAUUUAACAGGACCAUCUAUUUUUUCUUUGAAAACUAAAUAUGCGGAGAUAUUACCGGUAUGGUGAAGGUCAGAAGUGGACUAUAAUGACGAGGCUUGCAUUAGAAAUUUUGGGAUAACAAAUUGUGAUUAUGUUUUGUCUUGUAUGGAACUUGUGACUGUCUGGGUUCCUAGGUGAUGACAUGAAACUUCUUAUAUUUGGGAUAACAAAUUGCCUUUUUAUCUUCUUCUUGAGUUCCAUCUGAAGCUUAAUAGCCUGCAUUAAUAAUUUUUAUUUCCAACAGUUGAAGCUACAAUUGUCUAAUGUUUGUUUUGUGGUGCAUGCGGCUUUGUCUGUCAACCAUUCACCUUUGAAAUUGUCACAUGGGCCUUGCCUAUUUCUAUGAUACUCAGUCUUGAAUUUGGUCUCUUGCUUGUUCCUUAUCAAACCAUCUCGAUGGCAUUGGAGUCCAUCACUGAUCAGCACUGGUUUAAUGUAAGUGCAUUUCUAGUUGUUCUCUAUCUCCAUGGUAAUGACAAAGAUAUUAGCCUUGGAAGUUGGCCUGGUCUAUCUUCCUGGAAAAAGUUUCUUCUCCAUUUAAAUUACUGAUUCUUCUACUUCCCAUCCACCUCUCUGUUCCUUGCCGCCUCCUUUCUCUUUCCCUUCCCUCUUUUUCUCUUUGAAGUUUAAGACAAAGAUGGGAAAACAAACAACCUGUCCUUGUUGAGUACUAUUCCUUGCCUAAGCAAAGCUGGUUGAGCCAGCUUGAUCCAUGUGACAACCCAGAGAUUUGAGUCCAAUAAGAACAUAAUUAAAAAAAAAAGAAAAACAAAGGAAAAAUCUGGCAUAUGAGUGUUACUGUUACUCCACGUGUCUGUUUCUGAAACCACCAUGUAACAAGCGUGGCGCGAGUAGGUUCAUCUCCCAAAAAGAUCCUGACAAUAGCUGUGUCGUGUUCCAAAUCGAGAUAUUUUCUUCAGACCAAUCUCCAAAGUAAUACGAAACUUUGUUAUUUUUCAUUCUUAUAAAAGUUUUCAAAUGAAGUCAUGCUAAUUAUAAUUACAAUUUCAUAUUUACAUUUUAUCUAUGUAUAUAUCAAUUACAUGUCUUGACAUUCAAUUGGAUUGUUCAAAUUGUUCUCUUAGUUCUCAUAAUUUUAAAGCUCUCAUCUCUAAUUAUUUGUAAAAUUGUAAAUAAGAGAAUGAACAAAUCACUGCUAAGAAAGUAUAGCCAUAUAUACCUUACCAGAUCAAGUAUUAUUUUCAAUAUAUCAUAUAAUUCAUUUAAGAACAUUUCAAUAGAUCAUGCUUUUAAACAGUUAACUAAAUUAUUAUAUCUAAAAUGAAAAAUUUCAUAAAUCAUAAAUUAAAAAACUGAAAUGGUAAGGGUGGGAUGGGGUUGGUAGAAUCUAAGAUUUGAACUGUAAUAGUUUUCCAUUUUUUUAAUUACUAAUAUAUGUAAAUUGUGAAAGAUUUUGAAACCUACAAUUAUUCUAUGCUAUAUAUGUUACAACUAUAAUAUACAUAAUCGUUUAAAUAAUUAUUAUAUGUAUUAAUUUUUUAAAAAAAUUAUAUGAAUUUUUUUUAUUAAUAAUGGAGUAAAAAUAUUUUUAUGAAAUAAUUUCAUUUUUCAGUCAAAUAGGCAUAUAUAUAUAUAUACACCGUAUAAGUAGGCAUACAAAAAUAAAAAAAAAUGUAUAUAAUUGGUUAUUGUAAAUAAUAUUCAAAAACUUAUAUAUUCAAAUUAAUAUUAAUAAGCAUAUAAUUAUUAAAAUUGGACUAGAUGAACCAAAGACUUAGUCAUUAGACUGAUCUAGUCCUUGUGUUGAAUCAUAAACACAAAUGAUCUACUUUUCAAUAUAUAUAGACACACAUGCACGCACAAAUGACCAAGUCAAACCUGAUUAAAUUCUCAGUCAUUAAUUUGGUACCAACUCAAAUGAUUAUCCUGAUUUUGUUCCCAUUUGACUUAUAUUCAUAAAAUUAUAAUCAAUUUUAUAUUCAAUCUUAGGAAUUAUGUAAUUUUAAUCAAUUGUACAAAAUUAAAACUGCUUUUUAUAGGAUGAGUCUAUCUGCGAUCAUAUUUUUAUUUUUUUCUCAAUGUAAAUGUAAGUUUUUUUCUAUUUUUUAAAAUAUUUUGUCAAAUAUAAAGAAAUUUAAGGAGAGAAUUUAAAUUUUAACUUUUAUUAGUUAUUUUUUAGAAUUAAAUAUUAAUUGUAAAUAUUAUACACAUAAGAAAAUUCCAAAAAAAAUAGUGUGUCAUUAUUCAUCCUCUUGAUUGAAAGCAACGUGUCGAUUAAUAAUUUAAUCUAAAUUAUUUUAGUACCAACCAAUCACCGGCGCAGCUAAUAAACAAUCCUAUGCUAAUGGCCGCCAAAGUCUAAGUCAACACAUGGCAAUCUCCUCAAACCCUAAAUUCAUUUCAUCCGUCUUUAUUCAUCAACCGAAUAUUUGAUCAAUUAAUUAUUAGGAAUGUUAACUCAAUAAUAAUUUAAAAAUAUUCAAAAGGGGUGAAUUAGAUUUAUAAAAGUUCUUUUCAACAAAUUAAAUUUUUAAUAAAGAUAAACUUGAAAACAAAUUUGUCAAAUUUGUUUUCACUUUAAAACAUACCAAAAGUAAUUUAAUAAAUAAAUUAAUGAACAAACAAGUUGAAAACAAAUUUUCAAACUCUUUAAGGCAAAAUGCACUAGUGUAAAAUUUUUACUAACUUCCAAUCAAGUCAAGUUAAAAAUAAUUUUCACAAAUUUGUUUCUUUGUCAAAAUGUGAAAGGUAAUUUGAUGAGUAGAUCAAAGAAUAAAUAAUUUUCCCUUUGAGAGAAAAUCUAACUGCAUACAAAUAAAAUCAUUUGAAUGCUAUACAAAGACUGACAAAGUUUGACCAAAUUGUAAGAAAACCAUUACCCAAAAUUACCAAAAAGUAGAAAAAAUUUAAGGUAACAAUAAAACCUCCCAAUGACGUCCCGAUGCCAAAUACCUUUGCACUCUUCACACAACUGCACAAGGCUUGCCCCAAAGGACUUUACAUUUGACGGACCUAGUUUAUCCUAUACUAACCAUGUGGCUCAAUUUUGAAAGCUUAAUCAUACAAGGCAUUCCAAUGAAUGGCAUAGACCCAAGGAUUCCCACACAACACAACUUUCUAUAUUCUAACAGAGACGUAGAACAUUAUCCAGAUGUGAUUUUUCUAAGCAUACCAAAUCAUACAAACACUGGCCUUUACCCAUCAGCAAACUCUAUACCAGGUUUUGAUCCUAUAUAUUUCAACAAAACAUGAAAAGCUAUGCUGGAACUAAACACGGCCCUGCUGCUCUGUGUUCUCCAUUUCCCGCACACUGUCUACCAUGUGUUGGAUCUUCCUUCUCAGUAUAGUUUCAAUUUCAUCGGAUGUUUCUUCUUUGACAGACUCUCAUUGUAAAUACUAUCCAAGAUUUACCCUGCAAUGUUUAGGAGGCUGAUCCAGGAUGAUUCCACAAGGAGAUAGGUGAUGGCUUCCACACUGCAUUGUGCCCUUGGUCUGAAAAGUUCUGUUUCUUGAAAAAUUCAACUUGUUAGUCAAUCUGUGUAAAUUGCAAUUGUCAUAGCUAAAUAACUGGAACUGACUAAUGAGUCAGUUCCAAAAGGGUGAUAAACUAAAACUAUUUAGAGUUUGUUACAAUUUUUAUUGAAUAAUUAACUAUAUUAAUUGAUAUAACAAAUAUACAAAAUGGUUAAACUAAUUCUUAUCAAUUUCACCUAUCAAUAUUUCUUUUUUUCUUUUCAUACCGGCUCAUCACUUUCAGGUCAAUUUGUUUGGUUUGGACAUGUAAUGUCAAACUCGCCAACAAAAGGAAAAUGUAAAAACUCUUGAGAAGUUCAAAGGGGAAGUGAACAUUUUGUUUUGCCUAAUAUGAUUAUCAAAAAUAUAUGACAAGGAAAAAGAAAAGCCAAACACAUAAUAAUAUUGUGCAUGCUAUAAGGUGUCCUUCUUUCAAGAUUUUUCAUCAUAGCAGUUAAAAGAGCAUCAAUUUCUUUUUCUUUUUUUGAAUUAAAAGAGAAUUACCUAUUUAUAUAUGGUAGUCAAAUUAGUAGUAUUAUUAUUCAGAUUCUUAUUAAAAGCUUGUCCUUUUCUUCAACUACAUUGAGAGCAAUGUGCUCAUUAAUAAUUCAACCUAUAUUAUCUUAGUGCCAACCAAUCACCGGUGCAGCUACUAAAUAAUCCUAAUUCUAAUGGCCGACAAAAGUCUUAAGUCAAUACAUUAUCGCGAAUGCGUUGCAUCUCCCUAUGAACACCACAAAUUCAUCAAAACAACCAGACUCCUCAAACCCACAAUUCAUUUCAUUUCAUUCUUCUUGGUUCAUCAAUCAAAUAUUUGAUCACUAAAUCAUGGGAAAUUUGUGCUCAAUCUCAAUCUCAACGGCGGAUACAAUCCCUCGUUGCUGGGAUUGCAUUGUUGGACAUGCAAGUUACACACGUAAGCUUGAAGAUAAUCUCAAAGCUCUCGGUGUGGAAUUGGCGAAACUGAAUGCGCGAAGGGAUGACGUGAAGCGGAGGGUAGAUCUUGCCGAACAACAACGUAUGGAGCCGCUCAACAAAGUUCAACUCUGGCUUUCGAGGGUGCAGACUGUGGGAGCAGAAGCUGAGGUAUUGAUCAAAGGUGGCACUCAACAAAUUUAGAAAUUAUGUUUUGGUGGCUGCUUUUCGAAGAAUUGUAAGUCUAGCUACAACUUCGGUAAACAAGUGACUAGAAAACUUGCAGAAAUAGUUGAUCUAUCGAAUCAAGGAGAGUUUGAAAGGGUAGUUGAGAAUGAACUUGCACCCCAUUUGGAUGUAAGACCUAUUGAGCCCACGGUGGGGUUGGAACCAACAUUGGUUAAAGUCUGGCGCUUACUUGAAGAAAACAAUGUGGGCAUUAUUGGGUUACAUGGCUUGGGAGGAGUUGGUAAAACAACACACUUGACCCUAAUUAACAACAA
rnacentral:lncRNA from 1 species